rnacentral:lncRNA from 1 species
UAAUCUUCAAUUUCUACCAAUUAAAUUAAUUUUAUAAAUCUAUCCCAUCAAUCAAAUCCUACACUAAUUCUUCCAAACUUUUAUUCCAAAUCUAUUCUCAAUUACUCACAAAUUCACUCAAAAAAACAAUAAAAAAAUUACUCUCAAAUCCACUCAAAUUCAAUUCACAUCAUCUCCCCGUGUCAUAAACCCAAAAGAACAAAACAUAAAAGAAAAAAGUUUUUCGGAAGGUAGUGAUUUGAGACACACUGAUCACGACUUCCUGGCCACACCGCUUCUCCUUCUGCAGCGUAUUUCUUCUUUAAUUUCAGAGCCACCAAACGUUUCUCUUUCACUCGGAACAACUCCCUCACCCGUGAUCAAUCAUUCACUCAAUAAUUCAGUUACUGUGAUGUCUCCUCCAAUCAAAGCUACCGACACUCAUCUCCAAUUAUUUUUCUUCUUUCUAUAAAAAUUUCAUCAGCCAAGAAAUUAUGGGAGGGCAUAAUCAGACCAAAAUCCAUACCUCCCAACCACAACACCGAACCAUCCCAUAACCUUCAUUCAUCCCACCAGAAAACCCAACUUCAUCUUCACGGCCAAAAAUCAAAACUUCAAUUCCCAGACAACCAUCAAUCUCCAACCAACUUCAAUUUCUAUAUUCAUUCUCCAUCACCCCAACGCCAUCUUGACUUCUGAAACCCAUCAACCAUUUUCAUCUCCGAUCAACCCAAACACCCAAAAUCAAUUAUAACAACCACAAACACAGAGCCAACACAUGGGAAAGAAGGAAGAAAGCUGGUGACGGUAGCGCUUUGAACGGAGGCUCGCUGCAGAUCCAGUGUCGCUGGGAGUCGCCGACGGCACCCGACUGACGCGAUCUAGGACAGGGGAAGUUCCCUCCUCGUGGUGGCUGGUCCGAACGAGCAGCGGCAGCGACGACUGGCUUCGCUGGCGGCGUUGUUUUCGCGUGAAGAAAAGGAGGGAUGGGACUGGAGUUGCGAUCGGUGGCAGCUCUGUCGACGCCGUGAACAACGGUGUGGUGGUGGUCGGCGGCUGCCGGUUGGGUAAUGGCGGUUGGCUCUGGAUUUUGUCUCUGGAGGAAGAGACUUUUGAGUCUCUGAUGCAGGGUUUGAAAAAUGAACAACCCUCUUUGCCUCUAAAUUAAUUAUCUUUUUAAUAAAAAAAUUAAAAAAAAAAACAAACAAAGAAAAAUAAAAUAAAAAUAAAAUAAAAACAAUUUUCUACACCCCCUUUAUUCCUAUUUCACACCCCACUGCACUUCUAAAAAAGAAUCAGGACUUGGACCAGCACUUACUUCAUGCACCCUCCAACUUCACUGCUGCACUCCUGAUUUAUCUCUGUACCCCCUGUUUUCUCUGUUCGCACCCCUUCUGCAAACAAAGGGGACUUGGGCCAACAUCUACCACAUGUCACCCCAGAUUUCAUCUGCUGCACUCCUAUGAUCAUGGGCCAAUCAUUUUCGCUCAGCACCCCUGGUUUUUAAUUUCUACACUCCUAUUCUUGCUUUUAUUUUUUCUAUUUGUUUUCACUACGUGUAACCCCUUUGUAUGAUAACUCCACCCCGUUCCUUAUAUUUUAUUUUUAUCUAAAUUAAAAAUAAAUACAAAAUAAUUCUAUCCCGAUUGUCAUGUCAAGUCUCGGACUUGCUUGAUAAUCAUCCUUUUAUAAUUUUCUCGAUUGUCAUGUCAAGUCUCGGACUUGUUUGACAGUCUAUUUUAUAAUAAUUCUGAUUGUCAUGUCAAGUCUCGGACUUGCUUGAUAAUCAUCCUUUUAUAAUUUUCUCAAUUGUCAUGUCAAGUCUCGGACUUGUUUGAGAGUCUAUUUUAUAAUAAUUCUGAUCGUCAUGUCAAGUCUCGGACUUGCUUGAUAAUCAUCCUUUUAUAAUUAUCUCGAUUGUCAUGUCAAGUCUCGGACUUGCUUGACAUUCAUCUUUUUAUAAUAAUAAUUCUAAUUAUCAUGUCAAGUCUCGGACUUGCUUGAUAAUCAUUUUCAAAUAAUAAUUUUAAUUAUCAUGUCAAGUCUCGGAUUUGCUUGAUAAUUAAAUAAAAAAUAUAAAAAAUAUAUAACUAAAAAAAUAAAUAACUAAAAAAUUUUAAAAAUAAUUUUAUCUUUCACUUGUUUUAUAUCUAGCUCGUUGUUUAUGCUAUGACAUUUUUUUCAUAAUUCAAAAAUACCAAAAAAAUAUACAAUCUUCAGAAACCAAAAAACAUCUUCAUUUACCAACAAAUCUCAAAUCAAAUUUCCAAACAAUUUUUCCAAAUCAAUUUUUUAACAAAUUUUCCAAUCAAUCCCCAACCAGUUUUUAAAUCAAUUUUUCAAUCAAUUUCCAAACAUUUUCCAAACAAACACGCAUUAAAACGUAGUAGCCAGAACUACGCGAUCUUUGAUUCUCCAUCAAAAGUGGAGAUACGUAGGAGCAAGGCCAGUUCUAGUCAGGUUCACUUUCCAAAAAUUCAAAUCUUUUUCUUUAAUAUUUUCUCAAAAAAAUAAAAAAAAAUAUUUCUUGUUUCUUUAUAAUUUUAUUUUCGGGGAUAGUUAAACAUUUUGCAAACCACAUCAAGUUCGCAUACUUAAUUAAAGGUACUGCCUUCAGGCAGGCGUUGUAGGGUGCUAAUACCUUCCCUACACGUAACCGACUCCCGAACUCAAAUCUCUGAUUUCCGUAGACCGUGCCUUACUAUUUUAUGGUUUUUCCGUAGUUUUCCAGAAUAAACUAUGGUGGCGACUCCAAAACUCUUUUUUCGAAAAUAAUUCCUUUCUUUUCUUUGGACCGUCGUCCCGUCGCGAUCCCGGUUGCGACACAUACAAUUUCAUACGAAUUUUGCACAUGCAUUUCAGCUACCACUGUCACAAAUAACAAUCUCAUUCAUGAUAACAAUAAAACACAUAACAGAAAUGAAAUACAGCUUCCCUUACCUCAAAACAGUCUAUAGUCUAGCCAAAACCCAGAUUGAACUUGCAUCUCACAAAAGUUCUAUGGAAACCUACAAACUUGUGACAAGGAAUAGUUCUUAGAACCUAAUUUAAGUUGAGAAUUGAAAAUGGAAAAUCACUAUGAACAUGCAACAAUUUGCAUGCCAAAGAAUCAUGAAAGAAAGGAGAGAAUCACUUAUCGGUGGAGGAUCGGAAAACUGAUCGGUGACAAUCGGAGCUCUCAAUGCCAGGAACACCUAUGAGCUUCCUGAUUGUUGAACAAACAACUUAGUGAUGAAAAGGCUUAGAGAGAAGGCAGAGCUUUAGGAAAGGGAUUUACUUCUAGAGAGAGAAAACGUUUUUGAAAACUGAGGUAAGAUCUACUUUAAAAUUCUAUUUAUGUUUAAAAUGGAAAAUUUUGGGUUCUUACAAUUUUUAAAUAAACAUUUACUUUAUGUUUUUAAUAAAUAAUAUUUAUUUAUUAUAUUUUUAAUAAAGGAAUGUUCCCCUCUUAUGCUUUAUUUUUUAAAAUUGAUUUUUUUAUAAAUAUUUAUAUUUAAAAUGGUUUUAUUUAAAUUUUAUUCAAUAAAUAAUUUUGAGAGAAUACAGAAAAUAAAUGUGACUAAAUUAAAAAUUGACAUAUCAUUUAUUUAGAAUCAUAUUUUAAAAAUGGAUUAAAUAUGUUUUUCGUCUCUCAAGUAUUAGUGAUUUUUGGUUUUAGUCCCUACUUAAAACAUUGAUAGCAUUUAAUCCUUAUAGUAUUAAAAUAUGUAAAAAUAAUCCUUAAAAAUGGAUGGCGUUAACUUUUGGUUAACGGAAUGCCACGUCUUCUUCUAGCACUGUUCUCUCUCUGCUAGAUCCAACACCUUUGAACCCUAUUGGAGGUAUUGCCGGUGAUACAGGUCGUCUCCGCAUUGACGUUGCUGCCUUAGCCACCACUCGAACAGCCACCACGCUGUUGUCCACGGUGUUGCCAGUACUUACUCCGAAAAAGCCACCUCCUUUUAUGGCGGACCACCACCACUUUGUCCCUUCUCCUUCGUGCGAGAGGAAGACGGAUACCCUGUGCAGUGCGACAGGAAAAUAGUGAGGCCUUGGUUAUUAAUUGGACUUUUCAUCUAUCCUCUCACUAUAGAUAUAUGAAAAUUUUUGCAGAGGAUUGUCUCAUUGUGAUUUAUCUAUUUCUCUAUGUUCAUGGUAUCAUUCAAGAUAGGAACGAAAAAACUGUAUCAACUUUGUUUGGAAAAUGGAAUGAAAGCAUUUAUUACGUUAAUGGAGACUACACCGGGAAAUCAAUCCAAGAAAGCAUGUGGUCAAUGAGAAAGCCUAAUUUUAUUUUCAGAAAUUCUGUGUCAAGUAAACUAAAUCAAGAUUCAAUAUCGGAAAUCUACCUAAUAUAGCAUUGAUCAACACACAAAUGCUCUUAUAGAAAUUUGCCAAGAACUAAAUCAGACGUCUUCUCAAUUUAGUAAAAUGAUAAAUAUGUUAGCUUUUGGAUUAAAAGAAAAUCUGCAAUUUACAUUGAAGAAUAUGGUGGUUCCAUGAAGCGUCAUAGUUCAAACUUCAAGAAUAACAACUGUUGAUGCUUAUCCUGAAAAUCACAAGAAAAAUAUAGUGAGAAGCCUACAAUUAAGCAAGAAUCAGCAUUAUAUAAAAAAGAAUAAAAGCAAGAACAUAAACAGAAAUUAAUUCUUUCAAAGUUGAAGUAUAAAAAACCAUAAAAACGACAUUAGCAAAAAUUCUUCCAAGUUCAAGAAAAGUUCCUAUUUCUGAGAUCUUUACACCUAAGAAUAAACUCCAACAUAAAAAAUGCAUUCAAUAUUAAAAAAUAAAACUUUAAGCAAUUGGGGUUUAGAAAAAUCAAACAGAAAAAGGAAAACAAUUGGGGUAUUCGUGCAAACUUCGCUGUUCGAAGAAAGGCAAAGAAACAGAGAAAAAAAAAACAGCUGGGCUCACUCCAGACAGAAAUCGACACGGAGGGGAGAGCUUCUUCGACCCAAAAGAGAGGAGGAGAAGGGAAUGCGAUAGUGGAAAUGCCACCGACGACGAACGACGGGGACAUCGACGUCUUGGCCGGUGACGACGACGUCUUGGCCAGUGACUGGAAGUGGUUGGUCUCGCCGGCAAUAAGCAACACACAUCCCAGGAAUCGUUUCCUCUCGCGCACGAGGAGUCCAAAUGUUAAAAAAUCAACGUGGCAGUUAGUGCACAGUAAAUCUGGCAGAAGACGUGGCAUUCCGUUAACCAAAAGUUAACGCCAUCCAUAUUUAAGAAUUAUUUUUACAUGUUUUAAUACUACAAGGAUUAAAUGCUAUCAAUGUUCUGAGUAGGAACUAAAACAAAAAAUUACUGAUACUUGAGGGACGCAUAUUUAACCCUUUAAAAAUUAGAAAAAAAAUAUGAAUAUCAUUUCAUUAAGAUAUAAUACUAUUUAAUAUAAUUUUUAAAAAAGUAUUUUUUAAAAAUAAAGUAUGUAACAUUAAAUAUUGCAAUGAAGUUGUGUCACUUUUGGCUGAAGUCAUAAUAUCUUAACGCGAUUUAAUUGAUUUCAUUGCAUAAGCAAAAGUAGAUUGAUAUAAAACAAAGUUGUAUACAUGUUAUGUGUUGAUGAAAUACAACUUCACUUAAACACAAACAAAAUAAUAUUUAAAUAAUACAACUUCUUCGUAAGUCAUGAUAUUUAAUCACAAUUGAUCUAUAUGAAUAUUUUUUAAAAAAAUAUACAUAAUUUAAUAAAAUCUAACAUAAAGAAAUAAUGCUGGUUUACUAAAUCAGGACAACAAUACGUUAACUUAUAUUUUUUUACUGAUAUAUAUAUGUAUAUUAUUUUUUUGACAAUGAUAUUUUAAUAACUUUUUUUAAAAACUUUUUGACAACAAGAUACGUGUUACUAUUUUAUUGAUCGGUUUGAAUUUAUUCUAAAAAAAUAUUUGAAACGGACCCAUCACAGACUGCCACAUUAUAAAAAAGUUAUCAAAAAAAAUUGUUAAAGAAACUUUUUUCUAUUUUUUUCAUUAAAUUUAAAAUAUGGGACUACAAUAAUAAAUAAAUAAUAAAUCGUAAAAAAAGAAAGAAAAUAACAAGUGAAAAAAUCCAUAUAAAAAUAUUUUCUUUUCACCAACUUAUGCUACGUGGAGUGAACUGAAGCAAGGUUUUGCUCUGCCAAUUAGUGGGACACAACAUCCAUGAACUCUGCGUCGUCUCCCAUGGCCUCCAAAAUCAAAUAAGGAAGGGUGGCUACAAUGUCAAUGGACCCUUCUUCAGCUCCGCCGAACACAGUAAUCAUGCCGUUACGUUUAUGUUGCCCACCUCCAAUUCCAACUGCUUCAGCCUUUCCCCAGCCAAAAUCGUUAUCUAAUAUCUUAAACCUUGGAGAACUGCUAGUGAUCAAGUAAUUACUACCACCCACGCCACUCGGCAACGUUAAAAGCCUUGGCCUUCUCACCCAACAUUCAUACUGCUUCUUUACCUUCUCACCAGACUGCAAAGAAAUCACCCUGUUCAUCUCUAAAGCCCCCUUUCCAAUCCCACCCUCCAAUAGUUCCCCACAUUUCAUCGUCACAAUACUGGCUAUAACCGAGUUUCCAAAAUAACCCUCUGCCAGUGCUGGAACCAUCCUCGACCAAACGCCGAUGAACAACACAUAAUGCACGUUUUCUUGCGGCUUGACCCGCUUGCAACGUGUCACAGCGCGCCAAAGGAGAGUUAGAAGCGCUUGCAGAGAAGAUAUUUUGUCUGUGUUGGCCUCUGCAUUAGCUUUUGAUUUGAGUUCGGCAAUUUUUUCCUUCGUGAAAUGGAAUACCCUCUCAUGUGGAGCUUGUGGUUUGAGGUUUGGGGAGUGUUGGUUUUCUUCUUCCUCUGCGAAGGGAAAGUGUAUGGGGUGGUCAAUGCCAUCGGGGAAGUAACGGCGGAGAGAAGGAAGUUUCGAUAUUUGAAGGGAGCCACGUGAGAUUUCAGCCCAGGAAUUCACAAAAUGCCAGAAUGACUUGCCGUCAGCAACGACGUGGUUCACUGUUAGGGCGAUGAAGAUGCCGUCAACUAGCUCCGUCACUUGCACUGCCAGCAAUGGCUGCGACGUGCCCUCGUAGUUUUUAACUCCGUUGAUUGGAAAGAAGGAGGAAACAAUGAGAGGAACGUAUUUUGGUUGAAGGAUGUGUGCAACAGUGGUGUUGGGUGCAACGGCGUGGACAAAGAGUGCUCCAGCGUUGUUGCAUAGGAUGUGGGAUGAGACAAUGCUGUGAUGAUGUCGGAGUAUGGCGAGACGACCUGCGAGGGGUGGAAAGAAUGCUAGAGUGGAGGAAAGGGAGUGUUGGAGGUGGUGGAUUUGGAAUGGUGUGUGUUUUACGUUGCGAAAAAGAAGGCCUUUUUGGAUGGUUUCAGUAGGGAGGAAUUGGAGAUCCCAGGGAGUUAAAUCGACUGUAUGAGGUGAAUUAGCGUUAUUGGGAACGGAUGCUUUGAUUGUGGUGUUGGAGAUGACUCGAACGUUUUCCAUGUGUUAAUCUUGAUUGAGUUAAUGUGAGGAAGAGAAGAGUAGUUAAUGUUAUAUAAGAAAGCAAGGUCUCCGAUUGAGGCGCCAUCAAAGCGUGUUAGAGAAACAAAGGUGGAACAAAACUCCUGGGUUAUGUGGAUAGCCGAAGAACGACAAAUAGAUAACCAUCAAAUCUUCAACUCUUACGGAUAUGCUCUUCUCUCGUAAGUUCCACGACCUCAGCAGUUAAAUCUGAAAAAGAACAGACACUAAAUACAAAAAUUCUAAAAUUUUAGAUUAAAAUUAUAGUUUCAUAUUAUCUUAUAGUUAGUUCGUGAUCCAUUUAUAAGAUUCAUAGUAUUUUUCUUCCUCUUUUAAUUUCUCGUAUUGAAAUCCAAGGCAUACAUGAAUUCUUGCUGUGAUCACAAAAUAGCCUUUUGAAACAGUUAACACAAUGUAAUAAUCUUGACUUCUUCCAACUAAAACAACUUUGAAAACUUCCAAAAGAAACAUUUUCAACUAGAACAGGCGUGACCUUUUUCAACCUGUUAAUCCCAUAACAUCAAUGCUCACUGCAGAUAUUAGAAAACCAAUUCCAAGAUGAUUGCUGAAGUUAGAAAAACAUAAGCAGGGGGUGAGUCUUUUUUUGGGGUUCUCAGACGUUCUCCGCUUUAUCCAAAAGUAAGAAAAACUUAAUUAAUUAUUGUUUCUUCCAAAGAAUUAAACUCUAACGGUGUCAAUUUUGACUUUGUAUUCUACAUAUUAACUUCUUCUUUAAUGAUAAUUUAUAUUAAUAUUUUAUGAGUGAAAGUUCUUUUUUACGUUGAAUUGAUGCAGGUCAAAAAGGAAAAUAGAAGAAUUACAGACGAACAUGUUUCCCUGAUAAUCAAUUUACAGUAAGGACACAAUUAAGUACAAUGUCAUAAAACUUGCAACUGUCAUUUAAAGGGAAUUCUCACAACGCAGUAGCAACUUGUGUGGUGGGUGCCUCUCACAGCAAGAACAACUUCAUGUUGUCAGUUUUCAUGCGUGUAUUAAAAAGCAAAACACACAAAAACACCAAUCAACUCCCUUCAAUAAAAUAUCAAAUCGAAAUAUAAAUUUCCUUGUUAUGGCAGAGUACAGUACUGAACAACACUACAAUCUAUCAUGUAUCAACAUUUCAUGUGUUCUACGAGAAGGAUGUUUUCAUGCUGGCACUUCUCUUCUUUCUCCUCAAUAACUUCCUCCACAAACUUCCACUUCCUGGUUUCUUAGCAGGUACAAUGGCCAAAGAAUUAUCCGUACUUCUGUCUUCAUGGCCUUUAACACCGUUCAAAACUAAAAUCUUUUCUAGGGGCUCUAUAACGCCAGGAAUUAUGAGAUUGGAGUUGCCAUCACUUGCUUUGGGAAUCUGGGCUUUAGAAUCAUCAGCUAGCAUCUGAUCAAGUAGAGAACGAGUUUUCACUUUUAUGACCUUCGGAUGAGUAGGACUUGGAUCUACAUUAGCUGUGGUGCUUAUGGUGGUGGCGGUAUUAUUGGUAACUGUAUUAAAUUGGGUGGCAACAACACUGUCAAAAAGGGAUGCAUCCUUUGGUGCAGCCAUUGCUUUCAACUGUUUUCCAAGAUUAAGGAUAGUUUCUUGACACUCUGCCAACUUUUCUGAAGCAGCUGUUAUCUCCCAAUCCUGUGAGAUUGAUUCGCACUCCUCAACUCAAUACCAACACAAGCAUAACAGAACUGAGUUCGCACAGGUAAUAUAGUUCAUAAUACACAGAAUAAGACCCACCUUGGAUAAAGUUUUCAACAAACAGUAGUAGGAGAAGCAAAAAAGAAGUAAAUGAAUGAAAUUUCUCUCAUAAAUUAAAGUUGAACUUGUGCACUAUCAUUUUUCUGUUAGCUUUCUUAUUCUAUCUUCUUCAAAAAAACGAAAGAACUUGAUUUUAAGGUUUUAAUUCAUAGGAGAAGAAUUUGAUUCAUUUUACCUCCCUGUUUCUUCACCUAUAAUUGCCUAUGGAGAAGUUUACGCAAAUUAGGACUGAGUGUAGUUAAAUUAAAACUUAUUGCUACACAGUCAUAUUCCAUGGUAGAUAGUUCCUUUUUCAUUCCAAUUUUUUCCUAUCAUUCUGAUUGAUACUUUGCAAACACCAAACACAUCAUUAGAGAUUCAUUUUCAUUUCUUUGGACAACUUGUAAUGAUAAAGAACUCUGCUUUGAUGUUUUCACAAAGAAACUGACCUAGUUAUUAAAAUCAAAAUCACUACUUCACUUAACUAGAAAAAGUAUUGAGGGGAUGUUUUGCCUAGAUCUAAAUUACUUGCUCCAAAAAGAGCAUAUAGAUCUCGAAGACAGAUUACCUUAUUUAAACAUGGAGCCAGCCACUGAAGCUGCCUAAUCUACAGAAAAUUAUAUGAUGAUUAACUCUAGAAUGAAGUCUAGAGGGACACACAAAUUAUAGUAGAAUAAUGCUGGUUUUUACUAUAUUAAGACCAUAUCACUCAGCCAUAAUUAUGUUUUGAAAAGAAAUAUGGCAAGUUGUUGUAUUGUAUCACUACUAUCUAGCAGUUUCUUGCAUCUUAUUGCAGAGGAGUACACUACUCGUGAUACAGAAAGUAUGAAGAUCCUGUUUAUGGUAAGACUUGGUAUCAUAGAUGGGAAAAUUCAAUUAAGACUAUGUCAUUGGAUAUAUUGCUUACUGCUUACGUGCUCCAAAUUGGUAUUUUUAGUGCUAAUAUGAAAGGCAAGUUAAAGUCUUGUUACUCCAAAUACUAGAAGUGCUAAUAUUGUUCUUAGAGGAAUCAUGGUUCCUCUUGAUCAAGUAUUCUUAAAAAUUACUCAGGAACCAGUAGUCUGACUAUGAAUCAACAAGAAAAAGGACUGGGAUGAGAUGAACUUACAUUGCGCAGUGGCUUAUCUUUGUCAAUAAUAUCAUGUUUUGAGCACUGCUUUGACAUGCUGAGAACAUUAAUUUGACAUGUGAAAAUAAACAAUUAUAAAUUAAAAGCCAUAUGUUCAAAAAGCAUAUUGAACAGAAACAAAUACGAGGGUGUUUCAUACCUUUCAAGCUGGAGCUGCAAUUCAAGACACUUGGCCUCUAAUUCUUCACAAUUGCUGUUCUUAUUCUCCAGUUCCAAUUCUAAAGAAAAAAUCUUGUUGCGAGCCGCUUUUAGUUCUGCUUCUGUAUGCUGUGCAUCAAGAUUUGAAUUUAUCAGUUUCUGAUUUUUUAUUUCAUUCUCAAGUUGUCCAUUGGAUUCUUUAAAGGAUUGUAUCUCCAAUCUCAAGCUGUCGAUAGUUUUCUCUGAUUCCUGGAUUUGAUUCACUAAGGAUUCAAUCCUAUCAGUAGCUGAUUGAAGCUUCCCUUCCAAGACUUCCUUUUGAGAUUCAGCACUGAUUAAUUUAUCUUUAAUAUCUGUAAAUUCUUUCUCAUUAUAAUAUAUCUCUCCAUUCUGAAGAUCAUGACCACAUGAAGUAGUUAUUUGAGGCAAAGAUGACAAGUUUUCUCUAGGAAGUUGCAACUUCUCUUUCUCUGCCAAAUGAAUUGUCAGCUCAUUCUCUAUUUCACCUUCACUACGUGUCUCAUCCCAGUCAAAUUGUUUCUUGAUAGCAUCCCUCAUACUAGAAACAUCCUGAAGGGAAAAGCAGUGGUUUAUAAUCCAAUCCAGUGCCGUUGUUAGUCCUUUCGCAAAAUUUCCAUAAUCGGCCUUGCCACUGAGUAAAUCAUAACACACAUGUAGAAAUUCCUCUAUGACUUUACUGAGUUCAGAUGUUUUCCACUGGAAAACACGGACCAUGUAGCCAGUUGGCAUUCCUAGAUUCUUGUAGGAAAAGAUAUCCCUGCCUCCUUUCUGCAAGGGAUCUGAACUAUCAUAUUCCACGGCUGGCAGGAUUCUUUCAACAAUUUCAAUUACCUUUCCAAUUGAUUUACUCAAAUCUUCCUGAGAAAGUGGUUCGAUUCUCUUUAUUGACAAGAUGUCAGCAAUAUUUUCACCAGCGGAUGGAUUAACCACUAAAGAACUAUCUGAACAUGAGAUGCAAUGAAUACAUUGGGGAGGAUUCUGUGUGUCAAUAUGAACUGAGCCUCUGCUUGAAUCAAAGUCACACAGAUCGAAAUCAUUCACAUGCCUCAAAGCCACUCUAAUAUCAUGAAGUAUAUCAUCAGGGCCUUUGUGAGUAACAUGGUUUUGUUCCAGGAUUGUUUUUACUACAUCCUGAAGCCAACCAGGAACAGUGCCCUUAAAUAUGUCAAUGGAGCAAGUGUUCUUAUUUGACUUUGAGAGGUCUGAAAUGUGAUCAGACAUUGGAAUGAUCUCCAUACCUACUACUUCCGGGGUGGUCUCGGUUGUCUGGGACAAAAUGUGAUCAGGCACUGGAAUGAUCUCCUUACCUUCUCCAGGAGUGCUCUCCUUUGUACCAGUCUCUGAGAUGCUAUUGAUCUCAGUAACAGCUUUCAAAGAAGCAGAUGGACUUUGAGUGGCUUUUUCAACAGAGACCACUGCUAAUUUUUCCAUUUCAACAAAGUCAUCCAUAAGAUUUAUGUCUGAAGCACCAACACUUUUGCAUGACAACGGUUCCUUUUUCUUUUCACUUCUAAAGUGAUCCAAUUCUGAAAUCAAUGCAGAAGCCCAGGACUCCGCACAGCUAGCCUUGUCAUCACUGCCAGCAUCAGACAAUGAUGCAAAAGAGAACUCGUGUGAUGCAACGUUACUUCUAUGAUGUUCCACACUUAAAUGCCCUUUAUGUAAGUCUUCAAUCUGCGACUCAAGAUGCAAAAGUUUGGAAGCUGUGCGAGUAAGCAUUACUCUCGAGAAUUGAAGCUCAUUCAUUUUCCUAUUUAGGGAUUCUUUUAAAACCUUGUUUUCUUCUUCCAAAGCACAUAACUGCUCUGUCAAAGUAUUGAUUUUUGUAAUGGGAGUCUCAGGAGAAUUGUCAACUGAAGAUUCAACCAGUAAAUUGUUUGUGCUCAAUUUACUCCUCCUUAUUUCAAAUGAAUCCCGUCCCAACAUUUCAACUUCAUUUUUCAUUUUUGCCAGGGCAGCAGGACCUGGUAACCGUUUCCGGACCAGAAGGCGCAGCCUCUGACAUUCUAAUUCUAACUUGGCAAUUUUUUUGGUACUCUCUAAUUGCUGCUUGUGAGAAGCCUCAGCUGUCCGACGACUAAACUCCCUCUCCUCAUUCCGGAUCUCAAGUUCCUUCUCAAGCACACGAACCUCAUAUGUCAGAGAGGUAUUAUCUUUCUCCAUGGACUCUAAUCUACUCAUGAGUGCACCAUGAUCUUCCUCAGCUUGAGUCAACUGUCUUCUCAGAUCUUGAAUCAAAUUUUCUCUUGCAAAUAUGGAUUUAUUAAGAUGAGAAUUAUCAACCUCAGCUUUUGCAAGCCUUUUACUUGUCUCAGAUAAUUGCUCCUCCAAAACCAUGCGCUCCUUUUCAAAUUCUUUUGAAGCCUUCAUCACAGCAUCAUGAAUCCUUUGCUCUUGUUCUUCUCGAACAAAUCGUAACUGCUGCAUACAUUCCUUGAGAGCUCCAUCCAAAUGAGCUACUCUCUCUUCAUAAACUAUACGCUGAUGCAAAGCUUCAUCCAGAUCUUGCUUCAUAGACAACACUUCAGCUUCUGCCUUCUUCAAACCUUCAAAAGAAAGAAUUUAUCAGUGAUUCAUAAAAUAACACUAAAAACAAUUUAAAUAGCGGCUAUUUAUCUGCUUUUCACGUCCCACAUUUCAAGGUAAUGAAACUGAAUACACACACAUAGAUAUUGAAGAAUGCUACCUGCCAUUGCUUCUUGUGCAACUUUUGUUUGUUUCUUCACCAGCUCAUUUUUUGCAUUACAGUCAGAAAGUGCUGAAUCAAGCUUGUUAUUUAAUCUUUUCAAGUCCUUCUCUAAUUCAUCUUUAUCAGCUACAAGUGCCUGAACCUAAAAUAAGACAAACUACCAUUUAUAUCAAUAAAUAAAGCAAAAAGUUUGCAGAAACUUCUUCUGGUAUAAAGACAGAGUACAUCGCUGUUGGAAUUUAGUUUGUUGGAAGGUGACCAUUGAGCAAAAAAUUCAUGAUGGCUAAGGGAUGACAGAAUCCCUCUUGGUCAGUAUUUCUCUUCUAGUAAAACUCAUUCUGCAACUUAUUAAUUUGGAGGAUAAGCCUUGGAUCAAAGUGAUAAUCAUAUCUAUAGUUGAUAUGAGAUCUUCAAUACACCCCAUCAUGGCAAGGACAUUGGACGUCCUUAAGAAUAGAGGGCAUCAUAAUAACGAGUGAUACAAUAAGCCCAAUAAUUAUCAUUAGAAUAGACACUUAAAUGCUCUACUACCAUCUUAAGAUAACAUAAUUUAAGCCUAACUUAAUUCUAUAAAACUGGGUUAAUAAGAUAAAGUUUAUACCUGCUUAUAUAUUAUUAUUACUAUUUUGUCAUAUCUCUUGUUGUGAAAAAUAGGCUAGACUUCUAUUUUUUAUAUGGAAGAAUGACUCUUGUAUCUGGCUGAAUAUUCUAAAGGGCUGUUUGUUAUCUGCGCCAGGGAUUCAUUCCUAAAGGGGUCUGGGACCUUGGCUUUGUUCUUUGAUGACUGGACAGGGAUGGGUCCGUUUGCUCACCAAGUCCAUUUUGCUCACAUUGCUGAUAUUUGGAAGGAAAGAAACUGGACUUCAGUGGAGUUUAUACUUUGCCUCCUAACUCUACUAUCCAAAUUAUUAUCAACAUUAAAAUAACAAUUAAUCCUCAAAGAACCUAUCUUUUAGCCUCCAAUGGACGUGCUUCUGACAAAUAUUCAUCAGCAUCAGCCUAUUUGUGGUUAUGCCAGAAAUACAAAAUUAUUCAAAUCCAAUUUGGUAGUGAUUAUGGCAUAUUUCGAAAUUUUGUUUCUUCUUCUGGCGGGUCCUUUAUUUCUUCCUACUAAUGCUAAAAGGUUUCAAUGUAACUUAGCUAUCUCUGCUGGCUGUCCCAGAUGUCCUGACCUAGUGAAGACAUUCUUUAACCGUUGCAUGACUGCCCUCAUACAAAAGAACUUUGGCUUAGAUCAGGAAUAGAUUCAAUAAACAUCCUGAAAAGUUACAACUAAUAAUGUCAAUUCGUGGAUUAUCCAUAUCCUCUCCUUUAGUGAGUUGUCUUUAGUCCCUGCAGUUAUAUGGUGGGCUUUGCGUUGGAGAAAUAACUUCAUUUUCUCUCGGGGUAAAUGGCCCUUCAGUAUUUCCUAAGGGUGAUCAAAUUAUCUGAAGCUGAUUGUUUUAUCCAUAAUUCAAUCUUGAGUGAACACUUGUGGAAAUUGCCUUUGUGAAGCUUAAUGCGGACGGGAGCUAUUAUGAUUCAAGUACUGGUAGAUGGCUGUUUGGAUUUUCCAGUAUGAUGAGGCCUGGUGAUCAUAUUCUAGCAGAACUUUCAGCUAUUAAAGCUGGGAUAAUGAACUUUUGGGUAAAAGGAUACUAUUGUGUGGUUUGUGCAACAAAUUCCUGGGAGGUGUUUCAUAUCCUUCAUGUGUGGAAUGAGGACACGGUGAUACAGAUUCAUCAGUAUAAAGAUAUUCUCCCUGAUAUUCACAGCUAUUUGCAAAGAGGUUGGCAGUGCAUAUUGAUCCAUAUUUCACGGGAUAUAAAUAAUUUUGCAGAUCUGUUAGCAAAUUGGGCGUCUCACAGAGCCUGCUGAGAUUGUUGUGGUUGGGAUUGUCCUCCAGAUAUCAUAGCUUCUCUGGGUUAUGACUUAGUAUAUAACUAAAGUAGACUUUUUUCUUCUUUUUUUACCUUUGUUUACUUUUCCUUGUGUACCAAAAAUAACACAAAAACUAAAGUUUAGAUAGUCCUCAAAGUAUGAUGAAUAGAUACACCAGAAUUAUAUUGCCAAUUUUAUAGUCAUAAUAUUUCAGAACAAAACGCACAGGAAAAAAAAACUAGAUUAUCAUUCUUAUUGAUAAGGAUAGAAGGUUAAUUGAUGAAGUACCGACUUAAUACUCGUAAAUAGGAGGAAGACAAGUGAAGAAAAGACAAGGUUGCAACUUGCAAGAAGCCAGCUUAAUCAUGGUAUUGAACAAAAUAAAUAAUUAAUGCUCAAAAAUUUAAAUCACCUCCUCAUUUUCUUUUGAAGUGAGAUCCGUGUUGUCAGCUGCUAUAAUUGUCUUUUCUGAGGAUUUUUUUCUCCAAAGCCACGUUUUCUGAUCCAUAAUGCUAAAAGCUUUAGUAGGGAGGAACCUACACCAAGUCAAGGCCAGUGGAAAGGAAGUGUGCUACUGUAAGUCUAACAUUGAAGGAUAAGUUCAUCUUUAAACAGAACAAGCGUCCCAGCUAACAAAAAUAAAGUAUAAAAUUCAGUACAAAAUAAUCAAGAUUUUUUUUAAUUACUUUUAUAAAUAGAUUUAUGAUCUCCACAGAGACACACUGUAUAUCAAGAUUAUUCCCAAAACAAAUUAAAUUAAAUUGCGAGAGUAUAUCAACAUGACUGCAGAGUAUAUAACUUAAUCACCAUGGAAAUAAUAUUAGUAACCUCGAUAUGUACUCGCCUAGUGUUCAGCCAGAAACUUACAAUCAAAAUAUACAAAUUCGUACAUUCCAUAAAACAUAAAUCCAUCACAGUUUUCUGUUUAUACAAACAUGACAAAACAUAAGUCCUAAAGCAUAUCAGCCGACAAAAAAAAAUCUCAUGCAGCAGAAAAUCACGACGAGAAAAAUGCUCUUUCCCCCUCUCCCACUGAGAGGAACAAACCAGACAAGAUAUACAAACUCAUUUUGCUGUAAACAAAAAGUUUUAGAAAAUAAGAACAAAAGCAGAGGUUUUGUGUCAUACGUGUGCGUGUGUAUAUAUUUAUGUUUCCAUGUCUAAGAAAGGGUGUAUUAGGAGGUUUCUGACCUCUAUGGAGAAAGUUUGAGGUUGUGCAUGGAAUGGAUGAUCGAAAAGGUUAAAAGGGCAAUAACUGAACUGCAAUAUGGUGUGGAGGAGUGGAGUUAGAAGCGUGGAAAUAAGAAUGAGUUAGGAGAGUUGAGGAGUGUUUGAAGGUUGAAGGUUGAGACAUCAAGAGUUGGAAGAGAAAUGCGCAUGAUGUGUGAUCUCUCACCAGCGGAGAGUGGAGGAGUGAGAGAGUGAAGCAACCAUAACACCCACAACCAGCUCAGCUUUCUUUGUAGAGUGAGAGAAAGUGUUUGGUAAGGGAGAAAAAAGGGGAAGAAGUGAAAAGAUAGAAGAGUGAAGAGAAAAUGACAGAAAAAAAAAAUAAGGAAGAAGAAGAAGAAGAAGAAGAGAGAGAAAAGUGUCGGCUUGGUGCUUUUAUUGGAUCUGCCAACACGAGAAUCGAGGACUGGGAUACUUUUAUAUGUGGGGAAAAUUAGUAACAAAAGACGAGAACUUUCAGAUACACGUGUACUACCGAUACCUGAGUUAUGCAGUUAAUUUCGUUAAAUAAUAUCUUACCUUUAUAAUAUUAACUCAUAAACGAUUUAAAAAUUACUUUUUAAAUCUAUAAAUUAUUUUAUAUAUUAAAUAAUAUUAAUUUAUAAUAAUUUUUAAUGUUUAUAUUAAUUUUUUUAUAAAAAAUAAUGUAUAUUAAUUUUAUAUGAUAUAUUUAACCAGCUUAAAUAUUUUUUUAUGAAACAAUAAUCAUUAAUAAAGUAAAUAAGUUAACCACUAUCUUAUUUAAUUAAUUUAUAAAUUAGUGUGAUCAAUGGUUUAAUCAUUCUGAAAGUCUCUAUUUUGGGUGACUUUUUUUAAUUAGGUUUUUCAUUUUUUCUUUUUUUCAAUUGGGUUCCUAUUUUUGAAAAAUUGAAGCAAUUAGGUCAUUGUCGUUAGUUCCGUACUAACACCGUUAAAAAGGGUGACACGUGUCAGUUCGUGAUUUUUUUGAAUUUUUUAAAUAUAUUUUUAAUUAUUUUUAUUUUUAUUUUUUAUUUUUUUUUCUUUUAAAAAUAAAAUUUGCCACGUGUUAAGUUGACAUUGUGCCACAUAGCAAUGACUGUGUGAGGUGGCACUGACAGUGCCACGUGUCACUGUCAAACCACGUGUCAUUGCGUUUGUUUCAAUUUGGUCAUUGUAUUUUUAUUUUAUUCUAAUCUGUUCCUUGUAUUUUUGUUUUGUCUCAAUUUAGUCAUAAUUUUUUUAAAAAUUUAAAAAAAUUUGUUCCUUCCCAAAUAAGAUACAGUAUGUACAUUUUCCAAAUUUUAAAUUUAUUUAUGUUAAGCAAAUUAUUAGUAAUGAUGUAUUUCAAAUCGAAAUAUUUAACUCUAAAAACUUUUUAUGAAUUGUUGAGGAAGUAUUGAGACUAUACUUGUGUAGAUUACCUUCACAAAAAUAUUUAUUAUUGUGAUGUUAACUUUUAUAGGUUACUCAUUCAUAUUAUUUAGGUUAAAUGAUUUCUUUACUACUAUAUAAAUAAAAAUGUGUCAUAUGUUAGUUUGUAAUUUUUUUAUUUUUCUAAUAAAAAAAUUAAUUUGUAUAAAUUUCUUUGUAAAGAUUUAUAUAUAAAUAAAAUUUUGUUUGAACUUGGAGAGAAACAAAAUUGUUUAGUUUUUUUAAAAAAUAAGACUAAAUUAAGACAAAAUAAGAAUACAAGGACUAAAUUGAGACAAAUUAAAAAUAUAGGGACCAAAUUGAGACAAAUCUAAUGACACGUGGUCUAAUAGUGACAUGUGGCACUAUCAGUGCCACCUCACAUUGUCAUUGCCACGUGGCUCAAUGUCAACUUGACACGUGGCAAUUUUUUUUAAAAUAAAAAAAAAAAUUAAAAAUAAAAAUAAAAAUAAUUAAAAAUAUAUUUAAAAAAUUCAAAAAAAUCACGAGCUAACAUGUCACCCUUUUUAACGGUGUUAGUACGGAACUAACGACACUGAUCUAAUUGGUUCAAUUUUCAAAAAUAGAGACCCAAUUAAAAAAAAGAAAAAAUGAAGGACCUAAUGGAAAAAAAUUACCGAAAAUAGGAACUAUCAUAAUUAUUAAACUUAAUAUAUAAUAUAUUAGUGUGUUUGACAAUAUUAUAUACUUUAGUUAAUACAUUAGUGGUUCAUUAAUAAGCUUAUAAUAUAUGUUUUAAAUUGAUAAACUAAUUUAGUAAACUAUAAGGUAUUUGGUCAAAUUAGUUAAUCAAUUAGUCAGUACAUGGUAAAUGACAUAAAAAUACAUAAUAAAAAUACAUAAUUAUAUAAGUUUGUUGUAUAAAUAAAUAAAAUAUGUGGUUUGUAAACCAAAGUAUGUUAAUUUGUAAUUAUAGUUGUGGGUUUUUUUUUCAAACAGUUAAAUUCUUAUUAAAUAUUUUAGUAGUUUUAUUUGUUUUCUAAUAAUUGUAUGUAUAAUUUUAUUUUGACAAUUGGUUUUAUUUAAAUCAAUUACUGUAAUGGGUAUUGAUUAAUUAUUUUAUUUUUCUCACAAAUUUAAAUUAUUAUAUUCUCAAUCUAAAUAACUUAUACAUUGAGUUUCUUCCUUGCAAUUUGUUUUACAUAAGGGAGUAUUACAAGACGUAUACACAUUGCAUGCUUAUUUUCUAUACUUUUAAAAGGUUUAUAUAUAAUAACUUUUCAUAUACUUUAAAGCAAGUAAGAAAUCAAGUGGGUCUUGUUCUUAUGAAAUUGUAGACUUCAUUUGUGUUUAUGUGCAAGGUUUAUUUCAAAACUUGGUUUUUAUUUUGUAUUUUUCCUUUACUUUUGAUUAAUAUAAUUGUUUGGACUUUUUUAUCGCACAGCUCACCCCUUUCCCUUUUCUUUUUAUGGGAGUGUAACCAUAUGGGUAAAGUCUAUACCUUUUAUAAAUAAACAUGUCUUAUUUCUUUCAAAUCAUACAUUCACUUGUUUUCUUUUUUUUUUUUCUUCUAUGUUGUAUGCUAAGUUCUUAUUAAUUUAAAUUAAUCAAUGUAAUGAGUAUUUUUUGUUUUUUACAAAUUUAAAUUAUGGUAUUUCUCAAUCUAAAUGACUUAUACAUCAAGUUUCUUUCUCGAAAUUUGUGGGAGUAUUACAACACUUAUUAUACACAUUGCAUGCUUAUUUUCUAUAUUUUUAAAUGGUUUGUAUAUAAGUGUUUUUUUCAAUAUUUAUUUUUAACUAAAGUCGUUAUAUUUUGUAAAUAGAUUUAGUACGAUUUUAUUUUCUCAAUGGUAUUAGUUUAGCUAGGAGCAAUGUUUACAACUCAUUAUUAUAUUGAUAAACAAAAUAAAUCAUCUCAUGGUCUUAAUAUAGUUAUCCGAAAAAAAUAAUCAUAAUAAUAAAAUAUAUCUAAAGCAACUAAGGAAAAACUAUUUCACGACAAAGAAGAAUACUUUCCAAUAUUUCCACUAAAGAUGUUUUCACACCUAUCAUUCAUUUUGUCAUAAAUAAGGUGAUUAUCGUAAACUAAACAAACAAACACAUAAAAAGUGUCAAAAGAAACAAUAGAGUAAGCUAAUGUGUAAAAACAUUUUCAUAAAAUAAACAUAGAGAUAUUAUCAUACAUAACUCAUUCAUAAAAAUAAUCAUAUCACAUAUAAAGACUCAUACUAGACUCAAUUAUUGGAAUACAUGUAUUGAUAUUAGAUUUUGGUGAGUUAUACACUUUUAGUGGUGGAAAAACUCGCUCGCCCAAGCUCCAACCUUCACCCGAGAGGGGGGUACCUGUAAAGGCACUCCGACGAUCAAGUUAGAUGUCGGUAUAGGAAGAUCCUCGAUCCUCAGCAAGUUGAUGCCUAGAAUGGAGAGAGGAUUGAUACUCAGUUAGGUGUGAGAGUAUGAGUGUGAGAGAGUGUUAGCGUGAUAAUAGCAGAGAGUAUGCUAAAUGUGCGUACCUUGUUUGGAGUCCUUAGCCCUUUAUUUAUAGGCUCUAGAUUGAUAAGAUUAGUAAAAUAUAAAAGAAUAAGAUAUAAAACCCUUAGACUAGGACCUCGUGUACCUCUCACCACACGCAUCACCCUUAUCUACUUGAAAUUGUAUGGUUAUUAGAGCGACAAGAUAACUCUCAAUACUAAAUUCAUAUAUUAAUACAUGCACUAAAGAAGUGUCAUUAUAGAAUCUCUUAACCAGAUCCUUGAAAUUAUGUCAAACACAUACAAUGCUCAUAUCUAUUAAUAAGCUCAUCAUGAUCACAAUUUCACACAUCAUUUUUCACAUGUAUAUUUAUCCAUAAAUCUAUCAACUAUUCUCACAUAAACAUCAUAAACCAAUUAUUAUUUUAACAACAUAAAAUCAUACAUUAAACCUACCAAAAGAGUACAUAUAAAGUUAGUAAGUAGUACUCAAAGGCCCACUCAUCCACAACCAGAUAGCUCACCCAUCAAAAAUAUCAUUGGAACUCACAGACUUAAAUUUUUAAAAAGUUGUCCAAUGAGACUUUCUCACUCAACUUUUGUCAUGUCAGUAAACUCUCUGACUUUGGUUCUGCCCAACGAGUAUAUUUUCGCCUAAAGAUCACCAAGUCAAUGGAUCUUUGACUUUGGCUUCAUCCAACGAACAUAUUCUCACCCUAGUCUGCAAAAUUUUGCAAUAGAGUUAUGUCAUUUUAGCCUUGCAAAUUCAGUUAAAAAAAAUACAUGUGUCAAAACAUGCAAAAUUUGAAUUACACAACCUUCACUAAUUCGAACAAUAUCAUAUCCAAAACCAAUUAGACAACAUUCCAAUUUUAUUACAAUUCAAGCAAGCCAAAUCAAAAACUAUAAUCUCAAUUUAACCUAUCAUAUUUCAUCACACAGCUCAAUCAAACAAACAAAUCAUUAUACAAUCACACAAACAAAUCAUCGUACAAUCAUAUAAUUAGCAAUUACAAAAUAUCAAUCACAUAAAACUGUGCAACCAACUUUCUUUACCGAACCAAUAGCUCACAAGAUCCUAACCAAUGAAACUCCUCUCAACUUGCAGAGUGUUGUAUCUAGACAUUGAAACAUCACUUAUCAACAAAAACUCUUAUAGAUGACUAAAAAGAUCUUGCAAGUGGAAGAAGACUCACAUGCAACAUAUAACCAAAAAGACCAAAAUAAAAAAUAUUGAAACUCAACUUAUACAAAAGAAGAAAAUAAUCAAUCUAAAUUGAAGAGCUUGUCCCAAUAAUUAAUCAUAUAGUUUUAAUUUUUCAAUCAGACCAACAAAAAGGAAGAACUCUUAAAUAGAAGUCACAAUAAAACUAAAAAAGUGGUUUAUAAAAAGAUAACAUGUUUUAAAAUAAUAAAGUUCAUUCAUAACAAUACUAUUUAUAUUAAAAUAUAUAUAAUAUUUAAAUAAUCGAGUAUCACUAUUUUUAAAGUAUUGUCACUCUUAAAAUAUAAAUUUUUAAGCACAAAAACAAUAAACCAAAUGCAAAAUUGAAUUAUUUGAAUUGAGAAAAAGAAAAGAAAUUAUAAAAAUAAUUUCAUAUAAAAGCUUUUUAAGAAAAUAAUAUGAAUUAGAGCUAAAUAAAUUUUAAACUAAAAUAAAAAAUUAUUAUAAAUUUUUUUAAACUUUAAACUAAAAUAAAAUUUAGAGCUAAAAUCUCUAAAGGUAUUUUUAACAAAACAAUAUAAAUUACAGAUAAAAUAAAUUUUAAAAAAAUAAAAAAUUUAUUAUAAAACUGUAUAAAUUUUAAACUAAAAUAUUAAUUAGAGCUAAAAUAAUGUUUAAAAUAUAAUAAAAAAGUUGUAAAAAAAAAUUUAAACAUAAUUUUAUAUACAAAUAUUUUCUUAAGAAUAGCAUAAAUUGGAGCUGAAAUAAAUUUUAAACCAAAAUAAAAAAAAUAUUAUAAAUAUUAAAAUGUUAAAUUAAUUUCUUUUAUAUAUCAUUUUAUUUAUUAUUUUUAUAUUUUUUUAAUUAUUUAUUUAUAUAAUAUAAAGGCAUAUUAAAAACAUAUCAAAAUUAAAUUACAUUUAUUUAUUUAAUCAUUUCAAUAUUUUUACUUUUAUUAUCUAUGUUAUUAAUAUAAACAUAUAUUAACAAUAAAAUUAUUACUUAGACUACCAACGUUUUUAAUAUAAUAACUUAUAAUAAAAUAUAUAUAAAGGUAAUUAUAAUUUUAAAUAUAGUUAUUAUUUUGCAGAUAAUUUAUUAUUAUUUAAAUAAGAGUUAAAUAUGUUUUUAGUCCCUAUCCUUUGGGGCGAUUUUGGUUUUAGUCCAUUUUCAAACUAUGGUACAAUUUAGUCCUUCAACUUUAAAAAACUCUGGUUUUAGUUUUUUUUACCAAUUCUUUUUAAUUUUAUUUGUUGUUUCAAGCACGUUUCUUAGUUAACAUUGAAGCAAAAAUGUGUCAAAAAGUGUAAACAAUCCAAAUGCUAUAAUGAAAUGUGUUUGAAACAACAAAUAAAGUUAAAAAAUAUUGGUAAAAAAGACUAAAACCAGAGUUUUCUAGAGUUUAAGGACUAAAUUGUACUAUAAUUUGAAAAUGGACGUCGUCCCAAACAUAUUUAACCCUUUAAAUAACAAUUUAUAUCAUUAACUACUUGUGGAAACAUUUAUUCGUGUUAAAAAAUAAUUCUAAAAAAUUAAAUAAAAUGUAAGAAUACUUUAGUUAAUAAAGCAAAUAAAAUCAGUAGUAAAAUUGUGUACAGUAAAAUAUGUAAACUCUUCAACAGUGACUUCCAUUCACUUUUUCUUAUAAUAUGGAUAUGUAAUAUAGAGAUAUAUCUUGUAGAAAUAAUGUUUCAUUUGCAUCUAAUAAUUUAAAAAAUUCACAUAUUAUAAAUAUUUUAUAGAAUAAGAAAAAAUUCACAUAUUAGAAAUAUUGUAUAGAUUACAUGAACCUUGUAAUCAAUCACAGGAACAUGUAAUUAAUUAUCAGGAUCUAAAAGUCAUUUGUACAAAAAAUUCUACCAUACUCCAGUUGAAAUAAUAACAUUUCUUAUGAUGAUUUUUGCUUUGUUUUUGUAAAAUGUUUCCAUUUUUUUAUAUGAGUGAAUUAUUUCAAUAUUAUUAGAUGUGUUCCUUACAUCAAUAAUGAAGUUAAGCCAUUAAUUUUUCAAAAUAAUGUCCAUUUAAGUAGUUUACUUUAGUUUCGAUAAGGUGCAUGAUCAUUGUUUUUUUUUUUUUUAAAUCUGAUAAAGGAUUCAAAAUAUAAAUUAGAAUUUGAUUUGGUGAAAACUAAAUUCAAAUAUAUUUUUUUCUAUAAAUACUAAAAAAAUAAAAAAAAAAAUUGAUUUUCAAAAAAUCAAAUUAUAACCUACUUUUAUAAUUAAAAAACAAUCAAAAUAUAAUCCAGAAAUCGAAAUAUAACUUACAUUUAUAAAAAAAAAAUUAAAAUAUAUGUCAGAAUCCAAUUUUUCAGAAGUCAAAUUCCAACUUAAUCUUUUAUCAAAAAUUAUGUAUAAUUAUCUUAGAAUUCGAUUUUAGAAAAAUGAAAUUUUAACCUAUAUAAAUUCUCGUAAUUUUACAAACGAUACCUAACUGACACUGUUUCUGUGAAUCUCAAGCUCUGCAGGAUUCUGCGUGGUCAAGGUUCGUGGGUUAUUGGUUGUCAAUAGUUCAUGAGAUUUUCUUGGGUUCGGCAUCACGUUAUUAAAUUAAUAUAUGCAGAAUCAAAUUAUGUGAAGAACAAAGUUAACAAAUUUAAUUUUAAAAUAAAUAAUAUUAACAAAUAUAUCACAAUUAUUGAUGAAUAAAAUUUCAAAUAUAAUAAGUUUAUUAUUUCAUUGCAUUAGGUGAUCUGAUUUUGCUUUCAUCCAACGGACUGGAAGAUAGUAAGUCCUUGUCUCUUUAACACUGUCUCAGUCCUGAUGCUAAAUAAAUAAGAGUGGCUAACAUUAUUAUUAACAGAAAAGUUUAUUUGAAAUAUGCAAAUUAUGGUAAAUUACAUUAAUAAUUUAAAUUUUGUUAGCUAGUAUGAUUAAAGUUUUAGUAAAUAAAAUGAUUAUGAGGAAGAAGAAAAGGAGUGGUUAUUAUGAAGAGUGAACUAAUUAAGGAUAGAAUGCAUUGCUUUAUAUGGGCAAAGACUUUGGCUUUACUCUUAGCAUAUUUCUGUCGAACUUUAUUAUUCUUAGCUUUAACAUUAAUGGCGAUUUUGAUAAUAAUUGAGUGAUAAUGUGGACUUGUGGACCCUAAUCUGCCUCAUGUAUUCAGUGGUUAGGAUGGGUUUACCUACAACACCAACAAAAGGAUGUGAGUCCAGGUUGUUUCCACUCUCAGAUAUACUUUAACAUAUCAUCAAGUACCAUUCGCAAAUCAUUUUCUUGCUGUUCAUUAACAAAUUCACAAAUAAAAUAUUGGUUUAAACCUCUUUUUGGUCCCUAAGUUAUAAGCGGAUGUUUAGUUUAGUCUCCGUUUUUAAAAAUGUAAAUCUUUGGUCCCUAAGUUAUAAAAAAUGUAUCAAAUGAGUCAUUUUUUGACUUGAAAUACUGUUUUUUGUUGUUUCUUAAAAACUGCUACAUCUUUAGAUUGCUCUGAUUUGUUUCUUAAUAAUAACAGCACUUUAGAUUGCUCUUUGUACUUUGACCAUGAACAUCAAAAAAGGACUCAUUUGAUACAUUUUUUAUAACUUAGGAAUCAAAGAUUUACAUUUUUAAAAGCGGGGACUAAACUGAACAUCUACUCAUAACUUAGGGACCAAAAAGAGGUUUAAACCUAAAAUAUUCUUAUUAGAAAUGUUAGAGGUGCACUCAAAAUUAAAGUCAGAGUUUAUAUUAGUAGUACAUUCAUAAUAAAAAAAUAUCAAAAAUUCUGCUUCUGGUCUUUGCAUUUUCUAUCAAAACUUAAUUUUAGGCUAUGUAUUUUUAAACUAAUGAAAUUAUAGUCUUCUGACUUUUAAAAAUAUAACAUUUUGUAUCCUUGAUUAUAUGGCUUUUUCGUUAACAAAAUAGUGAAAGAGAAGAAAUGAUUCGUUAAACUGAAAUAAUAGGUUCAAAAUUAUUUUUGACAAAAAGAUAUGGGAAUCCAAAACAUAUUUUUUUUUCUAAAAAAUAUAUUGAUAAUUGUAUUUCUAAAUGUGAGAAUCUAGAAAAUAGAAUAUUAGAGUUGAUAGUUGUAAAAUAAUGAGAUGUAGUAUUUUAAAAUUUAAAAUAAUUCAUUAAUAUAAAUAAAAUUUUUUGAACUCGUCUGAUUAUUUAAAACACAAACCAUUACUCUAAAAUUAUUCCUUUGUUCUCUCUAAAUUAUCUUACUCAUCAAUCAUAUGUUUGACAAUCAAGAAGUUUCUAUGAUAUAGCAAUUGAGUAAUUUUUGUUAAGAUAUGCUAAAUAUUCUAUUAAAGGAUAUUAGGCAAUCAAAUAUUGUGUUAGUUAUAAUUUAGAUAUUAUUUUAAUUUGUGCANAUUUGUGCACCUGUCAUUCCUUUAAUAGAUGAAGGAUUAUAGGAUCCUUAUAUGUAUAUAUAUGGUACUCUACUNUUUGAAAUAAUACAUCAGAAUUAUUCUUUAAAUCUUUUAUUAAUUUUUAUUUCUUACUGGUCAAUUUUUGGCUUAGAACAAAUAACUUUCUACCUUCUUUUCCUUUAACUUUCUGACUAUGAUCAUAUUAGAAAAACUUCUUUGCAUGUGUCCUUGAUAUUCUUUUUCUAGUUCUUUAUCAAUCUCUGAUUAAAGACUCACUCUAAUCAUAAUUUGGUGUUUUGUAGGCAUUUCUAGAAUUCCUUAAGUCAAAAGUAAAGGUUUCAACAUUCUUAAAAUUCAAUGACUUCGAUGUAAGGGAAACUAAACUUUACUUUAGAAUAUAUAUUUGCUUUGUAAAUUUAGUAUCUCUACAAUAUAAUUUAAGUGAAAUUGUUAAGUUUGUGUUAAUGUUCUUGAUGUUUGAAUGAUAAUCAAUAAUUGAGUGACGUUUGAAUGUUUGGUAUGUCGUGUUUGUAAUUCUUUUGCUGUUAUUAUUAUAUAUAAUGAAAUGUAUUGAUGUUUAAUAUUGAAUUCAAAAUUAUUGGAAUGAAAAGUAACCAAAUCAUCAGGUCUUAAGAUCAAAAGGAAAGGUUUUAAUGGAUGAGUUUGAAAAAUAAGUACUGAGAUAGAAAAACAAUUGUUUUAAGAUUAUUAUGAGGUAAAAUAAGACUUAGUAAAAGUAUUUUUUGAGUUAAAUUUGAUAUAGAACAAAGGAAUAGUUUAUACAAAGGAGUAGUAUAAUGAUAAAUUCAUCAUACCAUAGAACUUAAAUUUAAUUCAUUAAUAUUAUUCUAAUAAAUAAUACAAAUUACUUUAUAUAUAAUAAAAUAUAUUAACUCGGUUCAUUUUAUUAAAUUUUUAAAAUAAUAUUAUCAAAUGAUAAAUUUAUUUUUAUUAUUAAUAUUUUUUACUUUGAUUAUUUAUUAUAAAUACAAAAUACAUAUUUAUAGUAUUUAAUAAAAAGAAGUACGGAAAGCAAAUUUAAUGCUUCAUGAAACUGGGAAAUAAUUAUAAGUAUAAUAAUCCAUUCUUAUAAAUUAUAUUUUACGCGUACAGAAAAGGGACAAAGAGUAAUAGAUGUAAUUUUUAAAAGAUGAUGUUUGAUUAUUUUAAUAUUAAAAUUUUAAAAUAUAAAUAGUUUUUAAUAUUUGAGUUUUAUUUUGUAAAAUACUCUAUUUUUCUAAAAACUUUCUUUAAAACAUUAUUUAUAUUUUCUUUAUGUAUCUGACCCGGUCAUCUAUUUGAUGAUAAAAAUUCCCCAGUGAAGUUAUCACAGGGAAUUUUUUAUAUUUGGCCAAUCAAAUAUGAAAAUAUGGUAAUAAAGAUGAUAUUAUCCUCACUUUAUUAAGUAUGGACUCAUGUAUACUUAAUUACGAGAGUUGAAUGAUUAAAAAAGAAUUUGUAUUGGAUUCCCAUAUAUAUUUAGUUUAAAAUUUUAUUUAUGUGAUAGAUUGAAAAACUUAUUUUUAAAUAUAUUUUUAUUUAUUUUUAAAUCUUCUCAAAUAAAUAAUAAAAGUUUUAUUUUUAAAUUUUUUUUAAAUUUAUUUAAUGAUUCUUCUCCAAAUUUAUUUAAGUGAACAAAGUAUAAAAGAUACGUAUAAAUAUGACAAGUACAUAUUUUAGAGUCCCAGACUUGUUUUCUUAAGAUUUUGUCAAAUGUCUGUUUGUGAAAUUAUAUGAAUGUGAGGUGUAACAUGUGAAUUGAUGUAUGUAUUUUAUAGAGUUAUUGUUUAAAUUUUGUAGUAUGAUUUUAAUUCACUCUGGCUUACUCCGUGUUUUUUUUAAUGUAGUUAUCUAUUUGCUACGACUAUAAACUUUACCGUAGCAGAUAAUAAUACAAGUUGAGAAGAAGUUGUCAUAGAAUAGAAUGAUAGAUGUUGGAUAGUUAUAUUAUAGAUAUAGAUAAUAAUAUGAUGUAUUACUUUCUUUUCUUUUAAAAUUCAUACUAUAUGUUUUUUAUGUUUUUAUGUGGAGAACUGGACAUAAUAUUACAAAUUUUAUAAUAUACUUGUGUCCAAAAUAUAAUUAUGUAAUAGCCUUUUAAUAUUGUCUUCGUAUUAUAAUUGGUCGUUAGAUGUCUUAUAUUGAAAAAAUGGUAAAAUAUUUUUCAUGGUAAAAGUAAAUCAAUUUUAAGUAAAUUCAAAUGCUUAAGUAAUGAAAAUGUACUUUUUAUCUAGUUAAAAAAAUUCUAUUAUAAUAAAAAUGUUAUAUUAUUCUUAUUAAAUUUAAUAUGAAAAAUAUUUUUCUAACAAAAGCAGUACUGUAUUCUUUAAUUUUCUUAAACUUAUAUAUUUUCAUAAAUAUUUACUAUCAAACAAAUAUAUUUUUAUUAUUUCUGAAAAUCCUAAUUUAUAGAAAUAAUUUUCAUUCACAAAAACUUAUUUUAAUCAGACAUGUCUUGUCUGUGAAAUCAGGCCUGGUCUCUAAUUUGUUAACAAUUUUAUCUUCAUUUUCAUAUCAAGUUUUUUUUUUUUUUAAAUAGAAGGUAAAUAUCAAAUUCUAUUCCGUAUAUAACAAAAAAAAACCUUCAUUCAAUAUUAAAGAGAAAAUAUCAAUUUAUAUUUUUAAUUCUGAUACAUAUAAAUUAGUUUUUUUUUUAAAUUUUAAUAUAUUUUAAUUUUUAAAUUUUAAAGAAUCUAAUUAUAUUUAAUUUUUUUAUUUAUUUAUCAAAUCAACUUGUUAACUACAUUAAAAUAAGAAUAUGUGAAAUGAAAAGAAGUCAAAUGUUAUAACUAUGACCCAAGUAAAAAUAAUUUAACCUAAUUGAAGUAAAAAAAUUAUAUAUAUUAUUUUUAAAAUUUAACUAAAAAUAUAUUUAAUUCUAUAAUAAAUAAUAUAAUAUUGGUAAACAUAAAAAAGAAAAUAAAGAAUAAAUAUUGAUAAAAUGCAUGAAAUAUAAAUUUAUUUAUAUAUAUUUACAAUCUUUAUAAUAAUUAAUAUUAUUCAUUCGAAAAAGGAAUGAAAUAUUUUAUAAGAAAAAUAAAAGGGAAAAAUUAAUUUCUACAUUUAAUUUUUUUUAAAUAAUAAGACCAUUUUAAUUGAUAAAAAUAAUUUAUUCUGUUAUAUAUUACUAUAAACACUUGUUAAAAGAAUAAAAUAAUUCAUAAUAAUUAUAAAUAAAUAAAAACAUACAUUGUGGUUGGUUACAUUGGAUCCUACUGCAAGGCCAUACCAAGAUGGUGUACGUGGUUGCGUCAUUUAACGCAAAACUUAAUAACUGCCACCAUAUUUCAGUUCUGCUCUCUGCAGCAAGGACUCGGACUCGGACCAUUCAGAAGCUCAGGGCCCAUGUUUCCACGGAACAAUGGCCCAGAAGCGUAGAAAUAAAUUCUUGUGUUUAAAAGAUAAGUAAAAUUGCUAUUUUUAUCUUUUAAUCAUAAUUUUAUUUAUUUACAAUUUUUUAUGUCGUAUAAUUAAAUCAAGAUUACAUAAAUUUUUACAAAAUUUUUUAUUACAAUUAAGAUUUUGAAAAUUAUUAAUACUUUUCGUGAAAUAGAUUGUAUGUUCUUUCUUUAUUUUUUUUUUAUUUCUUAAACACAAACAUCUGAAAAUAAAAAAUAAACAAGUAUAAUAAUAUUUUUUAAAAUAUAAAAAUCAGGACGGUAAAGAUAUCUGUACUUGUAAGUAUAUAUCUAGUUAGUAUUUGCGUAUACUUAUUAUUCAUAUAUAAUAAAUAACGGAUAUUAACAUUAAUUUCAUUUGUAUUUCAUAAUGCUAUAAAUAAUUUGAAAAGUUUCAUACUAAAGACAACAAAUUAAGAAUAAACUAAAACAUAAGAGUCAUUUACCUUCAAAUCAAAAUAUGUUAAUCUUGUUACAAUAUUAAUCAUCUUAAUAACAUGCUUCAAUGUCCUUCAUGGCUUAUCAAAUUUUACAACACUAGUUUGAGCCAUUAGUGUACAAAUUAUAAACUUAGUAUAUUAAAUAGUGUUUACUAUUCAUGAAAUAUUAGAUUAGUAUUAUUUGUAAAUUAUUCACAAUUAAUUCAUUAAAUCAUUUUCAUGUCUUAAGUUUGGACUUCUCUUAGUACAAUUAUUAACACAGGACAAUUUUCUUUCAAAAGUGACUAGUUAAAGACUAAAAUACUUAAAAUGAAAUUGGAUUUGUUAACUUCAUUUAGAUAUACUCAAUCCAUUGAGAAUAAUAACAUGUGUAGUCUAUGAAUAAAAAAAAAAAAAAACUUCAUAAAAAUGUAUUCAUAUUAAAUAAAAAGUUAUUCUAUAGAUAUUUUUUGAAAAAAAUGUAUUAAGUAUAUUCAUAUUCUUACUAAUAAGUAUUUGAGUUUCAUAAUCAUGACAUUGAUAAAUGAGAGUAAAUUUAAAAUAUAUUUAUAUUCAUAUCUUAACACGUGUUUUAACUUAUAUUUUAAACACUUCAAGGUGUAUUUUGAUGACAUGAUAACGUUUUUUUUAGUUUAUCACAACCUUAUGUUUUAGUUAUAGUGAGGUAAACUAUCACGGAGUAAUAAAUUUCUAUUAGAUAAAUACACACAUUUAAUAUCUUACAUUAGUUCAAGUAUUUAGGUGUCAUCCUACAAUUAUAACUUCAACUGUUUUCAUUACAAACAUAUGCUUAAUUCAAGAUCAUAAUGCCAUUUUUUCUAUCAUAAAAUAACUCAUCAAAUUCACGCAUAAAAAUAUUGAUUGAACAUAACAACUUGUUACAAAUACGUGUUGAUAUUUGUAACAAAAAAAUAAGUUAUAAAUAGUGUAAUUUUGUAACAUCAUAUAUUCUUCACUUAUGUUUCAUGUAUGUUGGAGAUUAUUUUUAUGAGAUGUUUGAGCUAAUUCAGUUUGCGCAUGAUUAACAAAUUCUUUAUUUCUUUUUACAUAGUGGUUGGUUGUUAAUUUUCUUAUCUUUGCAAGUUUUAUCCCUUUUGAAAAGUAAUAAGAAUAGGAACAAGAUUAAUUAUAUUUUUUUAAGAAAAUAUUUCAAAUCAAAUUACAAAUUAGUUUAAUCUUAAGAUUGUAGGACAUGUUUUUUAAUUUUAACUUAACUAAAUAGAAUAUCAAAUGUAAAAGAAUUAUGUAGCAUUGCUAAAAUACUUUAAAGAUAUCUUUAUUAGAUAUAUAUUAUAUUGAAAUAAGUGAAUAAAAUUAUUUACUUGAAAAUAACUAUAAAUUUUAUAAACCUCAGUCAAGUUAUUUUAAUAUUUUAUUAUCAAAUAUGGGAUUUAAAGUCUAUACUCUUCAAUUUGUAUAAGACAAGAAUGUUCAUUAAGUUAGAUUAUAUAAUGAUUUAACUUGACUUAAUUCAAUUCAAUUAGAUUGAGUUGUGUUUUAUUUAUGAUUGAGUCAAAUUUGAUCCAACUCAAACUAAUCCACUCUUAUACGAGUUUGGGUGAUGAGUUAUUGUUAUUAUGGGUGACCAGAGACCCAACUUAAGACUCACUCUUAUACUUGUCUCACACUUACUCGUAGUUGUCAUAAUCAUAAACAAAUCUAAAACUCUAGUAGUGACAAUGCAUUUUUCUUCAUUGUAUCUUUGUUAUUCACCUCUAGCAUUCACCCCUGCUAUAUCUCAACCUUAAUAUCAAAUAAACAAACCUAAACAAAAUUCUUAGUCUCAACCCUAACAUUCUUAUCUUUGUCACAUCUCAACUCUAACAUCAAACAAACAAACCUAAACAUUAUUGUAGCCGCCUUUUGCCUUCAUUCUUUACCUCUAUGUCAUUUUUCACCAUUGUUUGUCAUAGUUGUUUGUCUUUGUUUUUCUUUGUUGCAUUUUCUCUAACAUGAUAUCGACUUCAAACUCCUUUUUAGGUGAAAUGUUUUACAUUUUAGUUUUUCAUUCUUUUAAACAAAAACAUUAUCUUUCUUAUUUGUCACCCUCUAUCUCUUUGUCAUUGUCUUGCUUAUAAUUUAUAUAACAUAUGCACUCCUCAAGGGCAGAAAACACACCAACAAUAAUUGUUGUGGGAUUCUAUUGUAUUUUUUGCACUUUAUUGGGUGCAUGGGUUGAUGGAUGGUGAUAAUGUUGAUUUAUAAUUUUUUUUUAUUAAUUAUUACUAAUUAUUAUUAUAUGAAACAAAUUGUUCAUUAUUAUUGAAAUGUUUUAGUAAUUUGUAAUUGUCGCAAUGUCUAUACAAAUGAAAAAUAUUAGUUGUAUUAGGUCUUCCACCGACAAAGGAAGUAUGAAUACUUCAAGUGGUAUGCUAGCAAUGACAUCCUCUGAAGUGCUAUUGAAGUUGUACCAUUUGAAUUUUAAUCACCAUUCAAGUCACAAGUUCUUAACCAAAGUCAUUUAAACCUAGCAAAAGAUUCAAGAGAAAACCUAUAAGGACUCCUUCAAAGAUUUGAGUACAUUUGACAAUACAAUUUGCAAGUAUUAUAACAAGUCAUAUAAGACUAAAAAGUUGAUUAAACAUUUGAAAGAUUAUUAUACUAAUAUGAAUGUUGAUAAGAAACAAAGAACAUUAGGUAUUGAAAAAUGACAAGAAGAUUACCUUAAUGCCAUGAAUUUAAAACUUGUUGAAUUCAACCAUGAGAAAAUUAUUAUUGCACUUGUUAGAAUGUUAAUAGUUGAUGAACUACCUUUUUAGCUUCUUGAUAAUGAUGGGUUUUACACGUUAUGCAAUAAGUAUUAGAAAGUGGGUUUGUAAGCCUAACUUAACCUCAUAAAACUGGCUUGUAAGGUGAGGUUUGCACCUCACUUAUAUAUUAUAAUUUGACCUUAUCUCUAGUCGAUGUGAGACUUCCAACGCACCCCCUUCACGCCAAAGUAUAGACAUCUCGUGCGUGAUAGUAGAAAUUGGAUGGUCCAAUACUGGUCCGACAACGGGUGGAAUAGAAAGAGAAAUGCCCACUUAGAACUCGCUAGGAUAGGCUUUAACCAUGGCUCUGAUACCAUGUUAUGAGAAAAGAAAGGAUGAAAAUUGUGUAUCUUCAUUCAUAUUAAAGAGAGAGUACAAUUGAUAUAUAUAACUGUUUAGAGCAAUAUAAAAAUGGAAUAUAAAUAUAAAAACAGAAUAUAAAUAUAUGAACAUAAAUGCCCAUAUAUGAACGGAAAAUAAAUUAAAUCCAAUAAUAAGUUUAACCUUACUUUAAAAUUUUGUAUCAUAUGAUCAUGACUAGAUAUCGUGUGCUUGUAUUUAACAAUGCAAAUAUGAAAUUAAAAUCAUUAUUGUUUGGAAAUAAACAUAUGUUUCAUUUAGAAUUGAUUCUUGGACAUUAAAUCAAAAUGUGAAUUAUAUGUGUGUGAUAGCUCAUUUUAUUGAUAAAUUAUGUUAUGCUUUUCUUUUCAUGUAUUGAAUUAGUUUGAUGAAACUUGUUAUGAUUUAAUUUGUUGACUUAUCUAAAAUUUUGAAUUAAUAUUUGUAAAUAUUGUAUUUUCUUAAAAUCUAAAUUUAAUUGGCAUAACUUAAUCCAAUAAUUUCUCAAAAUGAUUGAGUUAAAUUGAGUUUAACAUAAAAAAAAAAUAAAAACACAACCUAACCUUAUAUUUGUUUAUGGGACUGGUUAAUAAAUUUUCGUAAAUAUACAUAAGCAAUUAUAAACAAUCCAAGUAUAAGUUCAGGUUGGUUUUAUUAUUGGAUUUUGGACCAAACUUUAUUUGCAUAUAUUUUUUAUAUAUUGGUCCAUAAAAGAUAAAUUAGACAACAUUAACUUAUUAAAUUAAUUUGAUCGAUCAAUUAUUUAAUUAAUCACUUUUAUUGAUAAUAAUAAUUUCUUGUUAUGAACGGAUUUUUAAUUUUGAAUUUAGUCUUAUGAUUAAUGACUAUUAUUAUGACACUAAACUAUAUUUUUCUUUAGGAUUUUAAAGUUUUUUAUUUUAAGAGUGAUAAUUUUAUGAGUCAAGUUAUUACAUUAAAGGUUCCUUAAGAAUUAUAAACUAACAUCUCAUAAUUUAUUUUGGUAAAUUAUUAGGCAUUUUAAAACUUUAGUCAAUUUUCAUGAAGUAAAUUUUUCUCAUAAGUUAAAGAACCAUACCAUAAGUGAAUUUUGGUAUAUGUUAUUGAUCUCAUCUUCAUGUCCUAUUAGUAAUUGAUAUACUAAAAUAUGGUGAGAGAUACAUGAGAGAGUGUAAGAAAUUGUUAUGAAGGUGUUGUUCGAAAGAGUUUGACUUUUAUGUAAGAGAAACAAAGAUGGAUUCAAAAAUUCAAGAAAGGGAGGGUUGAAAGGAAAUAAAAUUUAAUAAAAUCUAAUUCAUAAUAAAUAAAUACAUGAUACAUCUUAUUUAAGUUGUACACAUCAUUCUUUCAUGUCAUAAAAUUAAUCAAUGAUAGAAUUUGUAUCAAAAUUUUCAACAAUCCUUCUCUCAAUGUAAGAAAUCAAACAAUCAAUUAGAAAUUCAUCUUUCAUCUUGUUUCUGAAUUUAAUUUUCACAACUUCAUAGAUGAAAAAGAUUUCUCAAUUGCUUUAUAGUUGAGUUUAAUAUCAAUCGAAUUAAACGAUCAAUCAAGUGAUAAGUCAAAUAUUUUCUUAUUUUCGUCAAUCCUUGACAUAACUUAGAAAUUGUUGAUAUAUUUCUCAUUUCAUAAUGAAAUAGAACAUCAAGUUCAUAAUGUUGAGUUUGUAUUCUAAGAUGUAACUUUUCCUAUUCCAUAAAAUCAUUAGAAUAAAAUUGUAUUGACAAUUCAUAAAAUUUUUCAACAUUGAAUGAUUUGUAAAGCCCUUUUGGAUCUAGAGUUGUAUUCAAAGUAAGUAGUUCCACCUUAUUAUCAUAAAAUCUACUAUUAAGUUCCUAUAUAUAAGUGAGUAUCAAGUUAUAGCAAUCACUAAUCUUUUGAAUUCCACCUCGUCAGUAUACAAGGUAGUCAUCUCAGGUUGAAAAAAGUUUCCCAACCUGAUUCCCUUAUUCUUUGAAUCAAACUUUUUGUUCUAGAAACCAAAUAUAUUGCAUUCAAUAUACUUGAUUCAUACAUUGCAAAGCAUGACAAAGGUUAUGGGUAAUAUCAAGAUAUCUCUCAUAAGAUGAAGAAAAAAUUGAAUUCAAAAGAUGUGAUAAUAUCAUAAGCACUAUCAGUAAAUUGAAGGUUAAGAUGAAAAUAUUAAUAAAACAAAAAUGAAAUAUUUUUACCUGUAAGUUGUAGCAUAUUAACCAAGAAAAGCUAUCAAAGUAUUUGUUGUGUGCAAGUUCUUUUGCUUUUGCCGAAGAUGUUGAAAAAUUGCAGAAGUUGAAGAAAAGGUAAAAGUUGCAACUUGCAAAUCCCUUGAAAGUGUGAGAAAGAAAAUGACUUCUUGACAAAAAUAAAAUAAAAUUGUAAAGGCUUGUGAAGCAAGUUUUGGUUUUUAUUUUAAUAUAUAUAAUAUAUAUAAUUUAUAUUUUUUAAAGAGGAGGAAUUGGGACUCACGUUUAUUUAUACGUAUAUCUCAUUCUAGUAAGUGAGGAGCCUCUUGAUGUAUUGAGAGUUAAAAAAUUUAAUAACACAUUUUUUCUCUUAAAUUGAAAUAUUAUAUAUAAGUAAAUUUUGACACGCAUAAGUGAAUAUUUUUAUAUUUUAUUACUUCAAAUACAAGAGUGUUCUAACCCAAGUGUUCAUGAAUUACUUAUCAUAUUUAUAUAGUAUUUUUAAACAAAUGUAUUUUCCUAAAAGUAAAUAUAUAUAUUUUUUAAUAUAAGUUAACACGUUUAUCUAUAAACUUAGAGACUAAAAUUGUUUAACAUGUAACCUGUUAACAAAGUUAAACUUCAAAUGAACUAUGAUUAGAUUUCAAAGCUACAAAUCAAACAAGUUAAGAUGGUAAUUAUAAGUUAAAAUGUAUUUUGAAAUAACAUUGUUAAUAACUAAAUUAAUCAAUUUCUUAAAAAUAAGAAUUAGCUAAAAAGGUUAUUCUCUUUUUUUUCUCUCUCUACAUAUAUAAAUUAGCAAAUGUAAUAUAUUAACAUUGUGUUAAAUUACAUAUAUCACGUUAUUAUCAUAUUUUAAUAUUGUACUUUGACAUAUAAAGGUGUUAAAAUAGGUAUGUAAGACGUGGUUUAUUAAAGUUUGAGUUAAAAAAAAUUAAAUAUAGAUCAAACUCAAUUUUGUUUGCUUAAUUUUUAAGUUAAAUGAAUUUGAGUUGAGUUGAAGUUAAAUUAAUCCGUAAUUCAUUAAUUAUUAUAUUUUAUUUUAUUAUUUUUUAUAAUUGUUUAUAAUUUUUAAUUAGAGUUAUAUUUAAUAUUUUAAAGACUAAAAUUUUAUUUAUUAAUAUUUGAAUAAUUUAUAUAUUUAAUUUAUUUGUGUUUAGGUUUUACAAAUCGACACUUUAAUUUUUAAAUCUAUUUAUUUUUAUUAUAAUUUAUAGUGAAAUAGAUAAAUAUUAAUUUUAUUAUUAUAAUUAAGUGGAUUAAGUUAAUUUAUUUUGAUUGUAUAUAAAACAAGUUAAAGAAAAAACAUUUUUAGUAGGUCAAUUCACUUAACCUACUAGUUUACGAUAGGUGAAAUCGAAUUAUUUCUUAUUUACCAAAACGUAAAGUGUAUUGAGUUGACUAGUCAUUAAUUCAAUUUAGAUGAACUUAUUUGUGUGAGUCGAGUUAACCUGUUUUUGACAUUUUAAAAUAUAUUUUAUUAAUAUUUUCUAUUUAAUACAUUUAUAACUUGAUAAUAUUUUAUUUUAUUUUUUUAUCUUUAACCAUUUUUUUUAACAUGUAAUCUAAAAUAACAUUUUAGUUCAUACAAAUAAAUCUCUAAAUAAUUAUAAGAAAAUAAAUUGGGUUCAGUUAUAUGGAUCUUAAUUUUUAGAACUCAAACCAUCUUUUUUAUUGAAUUAUUUAAGUAAGUUAUUUGUAAUUAGUAUUUUUUUUAAAGAGAAAGUCCAUGUAUUGACAAAGUAAAGGAUUUACAUUGUUGUUAAAAGAAGAAAUAAAUGGUAUGAUAAAUUUAUUAAUUUUUAUAAAAAUUAUUAUGUUAAGAUAGAGAUCAUCAAAAAAACAAGACCGUUUAACAAUUCUUAUUUUAAUAUUUAAUAAACAAACAUUUAACGAAGCUUAAAUCCUCCAAUGAUAGAAAUAAUGUUGAACAAUGUGAACAAAACGUCUAUUUUAAACAUGAAUAAUAUUUUAUACAACUUUAAUGAAGUGCAGUUAAUACUUCAAACAAAGCUUUUAUUAAACCAUGCACUCAAUAAACACUAUGUUACUUAAAGAACAAAUUUGUACAUUAAAUGCUCAAUACACUAAAACAUGUCUAAACUCUUUACAAAGUUUAUAACAUUACAUGCAUGUACAAUUUGUACUUCUUAUUUGCGGUAUGUUGUUUCUUUAUCUCUGCAAAUCAUGACAAUACUAGGCUUUAUUCAAAAGUCUUUACAAUAUCAAAAGAACGUUAAGAGAUAAGAAGUCUUAGAAUGUUUCCUUAAUGCCUUUUGCCAUGAGGAAGUUGUACAUGUUACCUCCGUAAAAAGCAUUGUUGUUUUGACACUACCUAGCACCUAACUUUGUACCUGAAGGACACCAACUUUUCUCAAAGUCAACUCUAUAUAAAAAGGACUUGAUGAAGAGAAGAAUACAAGAAUUUUAUCUUUAAUUCUCACGCUGUUAUUCUCUCUUGAACUUUCAUCGUCUAACACUUUAUUUGUUUAAGAAAAUAUUUUACAAAUCUUCAGAUUUCAUUGUAUUGAAAACAUACUCUCUUUGAGAGCUUUGAUCUAUAGUUGUUUUCCUAAAUCACUUUUAUUGUGUUUGUAAAUUCCGAAGAGAAUCAAAAUACUUAUUAGUUUAGUUCAGUAGAACUAAAUUGUCUAGUCAAGAGUAAGUAAACUCAUAUGAUUGGAUAGUUGUAAACAAAGAGUGAUGAAACUUGUAACAUUUAAAAAAAUUAAUAAAACUUCUUAAGAAUUCUUAAAAAGAAAAGUUCAAAUUAAAUGAAUUAGUAUAAAAAUAAGCUUGUUUUAUUUGAUUUUCUUUAUAUAAGUUUUCUAAAUGCUAAAGUAUUUCAUCCAUAUUUGUGAAAAGUUUAUGAAAACUUUAUUCAACCUCUUUCUAAAGUUUUACAAGGGUUUCAUAACAUGCUAUUAUGAAUAAUAUAUUUACAUUGUCAAUUAUUAAUACAUAAUUAUUAAACUUUUUUUACAAAUCUAAUAAUCUAAUUCAAAGCUGCUUCAUAAGAGCCAGAUUUUGGAAUAAGUCAAGUAAGCUGCUUUUUGCACUCCCACAAUUCUGAAGUUCAGCUCCACGAUGAUAAGGACUGCACCACACCACCCCGCCACUACUUGAAGAAGAGGGGAAGAACACUGAAGAGGAAGAAGAGAAAAUGUGAGGAAAAACUUAUUCUAGAAAACUCUUUCCACAAUUUAUUUUAUAUGUGGAGGUGGAUAAAGAAAUUUUGGGGUGCAGGAAGUAAAAGCCGAUAAAUAAUGAUGGAGGAUUUGAAUAGGCUUUAGUUUAGUUCUUUACUUCGUGUUUCUUGCAGCGUUCUUGGACGGACUCAGACCGACACCUUAAGAAAUCUGUUUUAUCUUUUCAAUUUCGGACGAGGACAUGGUUAAGCCGAAGCUACAGAAGAAGCUAUCCCAGAAGAAGCAACAACAACCGCAAGUAGGUUUCAAAUUCCGUCAUCUCUUCCUUGUUACUUACUUUAUGUUCUCUCUCGGCAAUCGAUCUCUUGCUACAAUUCAUGGAUAUUAGUGUUGCAUUUGUGAUCCCAAUUUGUUAUUUCCUAACGUACCUCUCUAUCGUGCUUUAAUUGUUUUACUGUAGGCAAUGAUCAAUAAAAACCCUAUAUUCAUUUACCAAUUUCAUAAUUUUAUUUAUUUAUGCAUUUUAGUGAUGUUAGUGUGGGUUGCAUUGCAUCUUUCAGAGGGGGCAUCUGUGAUGUGCUACUGGAAUCUGCACUGUUACUAGUGGCUAUAUCUUAAAAAUUACGUGUAAGGAACAUUUUAGAUAUUAGAUUGCUAAACUGGAAUCAUCCAUUUCACUUUUCAGCAUAACUAAUUUAUGAGGUUGCUGUGGCACUAAAUUACAUUAGAGGGCAGAGACAAAGGUGGUGACAUCUAUAUUAUGGCUGUUGACGUGGCCAAUGAUGCACUGUCAAGGAUGUCUUUGUCUAAGUUUGUGAAAUCUUUCUGCAGUUUAAGACUCAUUUGAGGUUAAGCCUAGGGUUUUUUGUGAUGUUUUUUUUACUUAUUUUUUUUUUCUUUCAGAUUGAAGGUGCCUUUUCUUUUCCUGUAUGCCAACUUGGUUUUCCAGUUGUUGGAAAAGUUAUUUUAUGUAUUUUCUGUCUAGAUUAUUAAAAGCCAACUUUGGUGUUUUUACAUUUACUUGUAGAGGCAGUACUAGCUGUUCUGAUUGUACCCUGAUUUGUUUAUCUCUAUAAUCAUCCGUUAUAUGUAUAUUAAAAGUCUGUUGAGUGAACAGACCACUUAACCUUUAUUGGAUCGAAAGAGGGAGCAUGAAAAAGGUAGAUAAAUAGUGAGGAGAAUAAGGUUGUUUGGAUUUAGUGAAAAAGGUGGAAAUAGGUGACAAAUGAGUAGUAAGUUGAUAUAACUGAUGUGAUAAUGUAUAAAUUAGUUUAAAGCUACAUUUUCAAAUACAAAUAAAACAUGUGUAUUAUAUAUUAGAACAAAAAUAAAAAUUGUGGUUUCCUCACUCAAAUGAGUGGUUGGCUAAUUUUUUGCCAUAGUGGGUGCAUAAUCUUUAAUGCCUCACUCACCAUUGGUUUUGCUCCACGUAAUUUAACAGAACAUGGCCAAAAAUGUCACCACAAUCGAUUAUGUGACCAAUGUACAUGGAAAUAUAGGUCUUUGAUACCAACAUAAUCAAUCAUGGGCUAUACAUAAUCGAUUAUGUUGGCUCCUGGUGCACUGUGACAGGUAAUUGCAUGUGAAGGGCAUUUGGGGAAAUCAUUCAUUGCCACACGGACUUUGUCCUUGUAUCAACCCGUUUCGCAUUUCAUCUUCUAUUUGAUGGAUGGAUUCGAGUGUGGGACUCAAACUUCCUUGCAAAUCAGCGUGAAUCCAUGGGAAUAAACACAUGUGGUCCUCUUCAAAUCCGUCUCCUUCCUUCUGCAUUUACAAUACACACGUAGAAGAGAGUUUUAAGCAUUUUGCAUUCAAUCCCGUUGUUUUAACUGCUUUAUUAUGAUUUUGUCUUUGUGAAGGUCCUUCACAAGGUGCUAUAGAGACUUUUAAAGGAAACAACAGACAAUGCAAUAACUCUCUUGUUGUACUUACUGUUAAUUUAACUGUUUUGAAUGUAUACCCUUAGCUAUUACUAAGUGGGAUAAGGCUGUUGUAAAAAGCUCUUAUAUGUUAAUCUAUUGAGUGAAAAUCGAAUUGUGAGGUUGUAUUUUCUAGUGUUUCUAGGAAUAGAUGUUAUUUGGAUACUUUAGCUACUAGUGACCGGCCAUGUAUUGGAAACAGGUUAAGAAGCUAGGAAAACAGGCUGACACUUCUCAAUUUCGUACUCAGUUGGAUGCUCUGGGAUUACGCAUUGUUGAAGUGACUGCAGAUGGUAAUUGUUUCUUCAGGUCAGUUUGAAUGCUUAGCAUCCAGUUGCACUGACUACAUUAGCAUCCACGUUACAUAGUACAUACUACUAUACUAGGUACUUUCACUUGCACACAGUACCAAUCUUUUAUUCUUAGUAUGAAACUGACAGUAAGUUAUAGUCCCUAUAAUUUUGGCAUUAUCACCUACUAAAUUAGAUCUGUCUCUCUCCAUCCACCUUCUGUUUUUCGGAUUUCUGGCUUGGUAAAUUUCAUUGGCGUUUGGUGUUUUCAGUAUGAUCAUUCAAUCCUGCGAAAAACGUUGUAUAUUAAUUUAAAAUCUGCACUCUUCUUUCUUAUGCAGAUCCCUUGCUGAUCAGUUGGAAGGCAAUGAGGAAGAACAUAAAAAGUACCGCAGCUUGGUGGUAAAACACAUAUUGGUACAAUGUUCUGAAAACAAUUUUGUUCUUUCCUUCCUCUUCUUUUUUCAAAUUUUCAACUUAAUUACUCCUCAUAUUUUAUGCUUAUAUAUUGUUUAUGUAAUAAUUUUGAUUCAUGUGGUUUUUGAAAUUCAUUGAAAAAAGAAAAUGCAUCUAUGUCAUUAAUAUGCUAUGCCCCUGUUUUCCCUUUACUGCUUCAUUAGACAAAUAGAAAAAAAAAAGGUAGGGCUUGAAAUACUGGGUUAAUCUGUGUGUUGUUGAUGUAAGAUGUGGCAUGAAGAAAAUUGUUUGGGUUGGAACCUUUAUCUGGUUAAUCACCUAAGUAUUCACAGUUAACCUAAUAAAUGAAAGGAAAGUUGAAAAACCAUAAAUAAUAUCCAUAAUCAAUCAUAAGGAUCAUUGGUUGCCUGUGAUUUGUCUAUUCUUUUCUCAGUGACAUUUUAUGUUUGUGAACUUUCCUAUGUUAGUUUGCCUCUUUAAUUUUUGGGAAAACUCCUUCACAUAGCCUGGUCUUGAAGCUGUGAUUAACAGGAUAAUCGAGAGAUUUUUGAGCCCUUUAUUGAAGAUGAAGUACCAUUUGAUCAGUAUUGCCAAUCCAUGGAAAAUGAUGGUACAUGGGCUGGACAUAUGGAAUUGCAGGCAGCUUCUCUUGUAACACGUUGUAAUAUAUGCAUUCACAGGGUGAGCAGCAUCCUUGAAGAUGAUCAACUUCUUCACAUCUUAUAUUCUAAUGUCGCAUAAUUUUGUAUGGAAUAUUGUUGAUUAGUUAGAUUAUUCACUAUCUGAACUUUAUACAAAUGAAGAUCGAGGUAUUUUCGCAUUCUAUCAUCUCUGUCCCAUGCAAUUUUAUUUUGUUUCUGAAUGUGCGUAAGCUUUAUUCAUUAAUGUGAAGACUGAAAAUAGUAAAUGCAUAUUUUUCCCAGAUAUAUUUAAUUGCUUUUAUGAUGUCUUUGAUAGACUUUGUAAUUUGUUACAUGGUAAAGUUGAUAGAAAUUUCCAUUCAUAUUGGUGGGAUUUUGCAGCACAUGUCUCCUCGGUGGUACAUAAGAAAUUUUGAUGAUCAUGGAGUUCGCAUGGUCCAUUUGUAAGUACUAUGGACUCUAUGGUUAUAUUGUACUGCUUUGUCUCUUUUGUCUGAAAAUUAUAGUGAUGAUUUUGAUAUGCUAAAUCUGACUAAACUAAAAAAUAUUGUUUAUAUAUUUAACUUGCUGACAGACUCUAGGUCUUCAUUUUUGUAAUUAGGAGACAUUUGCUUUCUAAUCAGCCAUUCAAUUAGUAAAACCACUGUUUAGAACACAUACACGUGUACAUGAAUAGAAUAUUAGAGUUGUAGUGUAGGCUGAGUUCAUUAUUUAGACAUGAGGUAUGGAAAAUGACAAUUGAACGUGAUUGAUGAAGCUGGUUGUAACCGAUGUGAUUCUUAGAUUGUUUUGAAGGAAAAUUGAUAAAAUUACGGAUUAAAAAUCCAAUCGUUGUCUGUGAAUGAAAAAUCCUUCCAAUGAUAUUGACUAGGUUUUGGAUCCUAUUAUUUAUUAGAUUUUUCAGAUACUUGAGAUUAAAAUAGAAAAAUAUAUUUCUACUGGGCUUAAGAGAUCCCUCUUACUAUCUUCUAUUUAUAUUGAAUAUAUAAGAUGUCUUUUAUUAAUAUUGAAAAUAUAAGAGUACAUGAAAUAUUAAGGGACUGCACUAAACACCUAGGUGAAAAACUAGGUACGACUAAUAAAUGAUCUAGCAGACUACACCCUGCUUAGGCUUAAUGAUGAUACAUAGAUGAAAUUAUUCUAACACAGAUCUUAUCAGUACGUAGUUGGAGUAUUUAGUAAUUAAUAGUUUCUAAUCUUAAUCACAUCAUUCUAUCAAUUUAGAAAGGACAUUGUCUUGUAAUAUUGUUCUGUGUGCUGUAAUAUGUUUAUGCAUAAUGCCUCUAAUUAAACUCAAGGUAUAUAUGCAUACGGAAACAAUGAAAACAUAAUUUUCCUCGACCUUGCAUUUGAAUUCGGAUGGUUUUUGAGUGUACUGUGUGUUUUCCAGGUCUUAUCAUGAUGGGGAGCAUUAUAACAGUGUGCGGUUGAAGGAUGAUCCUUUUGAUGGGCCAGCAAGGCCGAUUGUAAUCAAGGUUGUUAUUAUUUCUGCUUAUUAAUUUUUGGACUGUAUCAAGUAUUGGAGCAUAUGCCUGAUUAAUUUUAGUUUGUGAAAGGCUGAUGCUGAUCUUUCAGCACCUUCACAUGAAACGAAAGUUAUGAACAAAACCCAUGGGCGAGCUGGUAAGGAAACCUUUCAACCGGGGUCCAUAAAGUUGGUUAUGGCUGGAACUGGAUGUGAAAAUGCUGAAAAAGUGGAACAGGUGAAAUGAGUGCGUACCAUUUUGCUGUUUGCUUGUGCUGCAUUACUAAUAUUUCAGUUCGGCUAGAGCUCUUGCAAGUUGCUGUUUUUUCUAAAUUUUAAUUACUCUACAUGUAUUCAAAGUCUGUCUUCCUUGUCCUAGAUUCUAGGGCAGGUAAAUGGAGACAUUGAUGCUGCGAUAGAAUUUCUAAUAGCAGAGCAAGGAACUGAAGAGUGCUCUGCGAACUCAGAUUCCCUACCUAGUCCGGCUAAUACUUAUGGUAAUGUGUUCUUGUAUAAUAAAUGCAUUUUGCACUUUCCAUACUGUUAGAUGGCAAACUAACAUUUUCAUGCUUUAAUGGUAAUUUUUUUUCUUGCAUAGAGGGUUCAUUUAUUCAUUAGCAUUUAGUAUAAACCAUUAUGAUUAGUAGAGAAAAAUGAAACUUUGGUUCUAUCGUAACCCACCUAGUCUCAAAUUCCAAGCAUGUAUAGGUCAUGAUGAAAAUGAGAACCAUAAGCAACACAAAGAGGACAAGGUAGAGGACAGCACUAAUGAUAAAUCAAACAAUAGUUCCAAGAAGACCAAUAUCAAGUUGCAACCAAAUGAUAAGGUUCUCUAUUUUCUGCUAAUUUUAGUUUAUAGGUGCUUAAUCCCCUGGAGGGUUUGAUCCAAAAUAAAUUAGCUGUUGAAAUAUUAUGAUCUCCUUUGACACCCUUUUGUUAUUCUAACCGCCUCUUCUUUGUGGUGUUAACCACCAGAUUCCUAGAAACAAGGUCUGCCCGUGUGGUUCCAAAAAGAAAUAUAAAGCUUGUUGUGGAUCUGCCUUGGGAACACAAUCUGCUAAGUUUCUAGUGUACGUGUCUUCAGUGUUUGGAAAUUUUCUCUGGGAGCUCACUUGAUGUUCCUUGGAUUUAAGUUAGCUGACUUCAUUUUGUUUGCUACAAGAAUGUAAUCAAAUGGAAAAAUUUCAAUGCGUGUGACCAAUAUUUCUGUUGUGUCAGUAACCAAGCAGCUGACGCACGAAGGGGGAAAAAUGAAAGGAAGCGAGGAGAAAAGGGGAUUUCUGCAAAAGGAGAAGUGCCUAGUGAAUACGACUUGGUAACACCUGACGUGGGCGCCCUUUGUAUUUAAAUUGAUAAUAGAUGUAAGACAUGCCUUGUACUAUGGUCUACAGAACCUUUUCCCUGCUCUACAAAAUUGAUUAAGUUAUUGUUUCUUCCGACAGAAGUUGAUUGUGCUGCACCAGAGGAGAUGAUACUGAAGGUGAGCAAGUUUUGUCUUUACAUUCCUUUGGAUUUACAAGUUUACUGAAGGUCAUAUAAAGAGAACCCUACCAUUUUUUAUAUCGUCACUGCUCAUGUUAUGUCAACUAGUUGAUAUGCUCAUGACAACUUAUUGGCUACCAAGAUGCCAGCUUUUAGUAUAAUUUACUAUGUUGUUAUCGUCCGUUCAAUAUAUACAAGCUGGUCUGUGAAUUAAGACUUGGUUUUGGUAAGGGGGAAAGAGGGAGGGAGGGAGGAAGGAAGAGAGUAGUAAUGAGGAAAGGUGCUUGGGUUGGUUGGAGAGAAGUGUGAAGAAAAGAGGAAAGAAAAACGGACGGUCCACGUGGCACUGUGAAGAAACAUGCAGAAAUUUGCUGCUCUCAGCGGCAUAAUUGUUUGCGAUGCACGUGUAAUUGGUUAUGCUGCUUGAAUACACGUUUUGAUGUUUAGAUUAGGGGUUAGGGAUUAGGGAUGACAACGGAUCGGGUAUGGAUAGAUUCUAUUUGUAAUCCGAUUCGAUAAAAAAAAAAUUCAUCCGUUAUCUAAUUCGUUACUCAUACGGAUAUCUGUUUAAAAAAUAUCCGUAGAUAUUUUAAAACCUGCGGAUAUCUACAUAUAUUUAAAAAAUAUAUUUUUUAUAAGUUAUUAAAAUAAAAUUUAAAUAAUAUUAAAAAAAUAUAUAAAAUAUAAUAUAAAUUAAAUAAAAUUUAAUUUUAAUUAAAUUUAAUCUUAUAAAAUAUAAAUUAAUGUUAAUUUUAAUUAAAUUAAAUUUAAUAAAAUAUAAAUUAAUUUUUUUUUUUAUUUUUUACAGGUAAUAGAUAUAUGUGGAUAUGGAUAGUAUAAUAUCCUGUUUAUAAGUGGGUAUUAAAAUACUUGUUAUUUAUUAGUAGAAAAAUUUUAUGAGUAUCAACUAUUCAUAGAAGAUUUUAAUUGUGGAUUGCAAGUGUGGAUUUUUUUGUCAUCUCUAGGGAUUACUGUGAAGAAACAUGUAGAAAUCGAAAUUUGCGACGCAAUGCCAUAAUUGUUUGUGAUGUACAUAAUUAGUUAUGCUGCUUGAAUACACGUUUUGACAUUUAGAUUCGGGAUGUAAUAUUUUUUAUUUAUUUAUUUAUUAUUAUUAUUACUAUAAUAAUAAACAAUUGAAAAAAAAAUGACAAUAAUAAAUAAAAUUAUUAGUCAUAAAUGAAACAUUUUAAAAAAGUUAAUUUUGACUAUUUUCGUCUUCUGAAUCAAAUAGUGUUUCUUGUACUGGUUCUUUAUAUCCAUUUCACUUUAUUUUUGUUUGUUUUCCUACCGCUUCCUUUAUUUUUUUUUUCUCUUCACAGGAGUGUAUAUCAACUUCACAUCUAGGCUUUAUUCAAAAGUGCAUCCUGUGUCCUUGUAAGUUGUAUUAUCAAGAUAUCACCAUCUAGGGCAUUGUUUACUGAUAGGUUUGCCUUUUUUUCUAAACAGGUUUGCUUUUGGCAGAAGCCACAUCAGGUACAGGAAAGGAAUGUACAGAAGCAGAAAUAGAGUUACAGAAAUCAUUUACAAUUUUUGUUGUUCCGGCAAGAUGCUUUUGGGAAGAAUGUGGAAGUUUUGGUCAUUCUUUUCAUCGGAAAUCUUGUGUGAGAAUCAGUUUUGCCUAAAAUAUAGGGUAGAAAUAUCAUCAUUAUGAUUUAGUCAAAAAGUUAAGCUGAACAAGGGUCUUUUUUCCUUUUAACAUUUUUGGCUAGAGUCAAUGGACCUAAUCAACCAGAGAAAAAUUUCUUACAUUAUCUCAGUAAUACAAGACUAGAGUGGUUCAAAAGAGGAAGAAUUAACCCUCCUAGUGAUUGUCAUUUACUAGUUCUUAAUCUGAUGGACUUGGCUUGAUUAUCGAGGAAUUCCACCUUUAAGUUACAUUCUGGUAAAAUUGCUGAAGUAUAUCAAAAUUUCAAACUAAUGAGAUGUAGUAGUAAUUAUGGUAGUUUUCUGAUAAUUCUUACUCGGUUGCAUGCGUAUUCUGACACUUUGCUCUCUUUAAGUCGACAAGAGUAUAUACGAGGUGCGUGAGUUCCUCAUUUAAUUUAUUUAUUUAUUCAUGGUCUUAGAAGCAAAAUGAUCUUUGCAUUGCCACGUGGCACGAUCUGGAUCUCCUAUUACCAAUUACUAAAACGAGAUGAGCGAAUCUAAUUAAGGAAACAAAACUCUUAUCAUUUACAACACUUCAACUUAAGGUCUAAAGGGGUAUGAAAUUCUUGGUUACUUAAACCAACAAACAUUGGCUUUUCUUUGCAAGUUUUUAGUAUACGUUCUUAAAAAGUUGCAGACAUGUAAUGGAGCAUAAUGGAUACUAUCCUUAAUGCUCUAGAGAUGUCAGUGCGAUGACCAUACUUGAGGCAAGUGUAACAUUGACUUUUUUCCUUUCUGGUGUAUCUAUCUGUUUAAAUACAUUUUAGUAUACAUGAAGUAAGCCAAUUUAAUAUAUUUUUAUUAUAAAUAAAAUGGGCAUAACUUAAAAAAGUUGAGAGUUUGGUCCUAAAGGAAUGGGAUGCAAAAGGAGUGUUAGUUGGUAAGCCCUAGCAAUCAUAAUGGAAGGUUGGUGAAGAUGAAGUUUGCGUUGAACACUAAACUUGCUCCAAUAACUUAAAAAGAGUGCCUCCCAAAGUCCAUCACAUUGAAUCACUGCAACAUAUUACUUAGUUUGGAAAAGUAGGUUUUGAUAUGUGGAAGACAAGACACCCAAUGGUUUGUUUUUUGUUGAGAAGAUUCGGUUAGAAAAGAUGAGAAAAGUAGUGCAGUCCCCAUAGUAGAAACUCGUAAACCUCUUUGAUUGGCAUUGGCCCAAAUAGAAAGAUGUCUGUUUCCUAUUGAAAUUAAGCAAACACAUAAACUUUGCCGUCCCUGUUUUGGGGUCUCUGUUACAUUGCCCUUUUCCUCAUAUUUUUGUAGCUAGAUUCAUGCUUUGGUUUCACAAGUGUCAACCAUCAACAAUUUAUUGCCAAACUCCAUUCACAUUCCUUUUCCAUUAUUCGUAUAGACACUGAAUUUUCCUUUUUCCAUUCAAGGGAAAGAAUUUGCGUAGCCAUUCUUCAAACCUCAAACCUCAAACGGAUUGCGAUGUGAAAUCAUAAUAAUAAUAGUAACGUAAUCAUUUGACCAAUCCAUCGUAAAAUGGAAAACCUAAAAUCGAUUCAACCAACCGAAUUGACUUUUGACGAUGUUAGCCAAAUCUGACUCUCAUCCACAAUUUUCUCCCGCCUUUGGUUUUAUAGGAAUAUUAGUAUGUAACAUAAAACUAUACGAUUUUUCAACAAUGCUCAUUCCUUUUUCGACUGCUUACUUCUUAAUCCUCAAACUUUUGCAUCAAUAAAAUUAAUAUUCAAUCUUGGAAACUGUGCCUCCUUAUCAAUUCAUAAGUAAACAACUUCUGCUAAUCCAACUUUCUAUUUUGCAUUUCUUAUACAUAAACAAAAUCAUAAAAUUCUUCUUCAUUUAUACACAAUGAUAUGUAUGAUAUGCCUAAACUCAAAUGCCAUUCUUACAAAUUUUUACUCAUUACGUAAAAUCCCUUCUUAAGCAUUGUGCAAACCCCCUUCUAUUUUAUACACAUUACGAUGAAAUGCGUUUCAAAUAAAACAGAUUUCAAUUUAUUAUUAUCUAAAUUAUUGAAAUUUUAAGAUAACAUUAAAAUCAUAGAAGACAACAAAAAGUUUAAUAGCAAAACUAUCAAUUAUAAGUUAUAUAUAUAUAGAAUAUUGUAACAAAAAAAUUAACAAAAAUAUAUAAUCGAGUGAAUUAGUACUAACUAAAUCAAUCAUUUUCACUUUUUAAUUCUUAAAAAUUAAUAUUUUCUACCAAAGUUUAAAUAUUUUUAUUUGGAAUAUAAAAUUAUAUUUUAUUUUUUAUCUUUACUUUUUUGUUGAAUUAAUUAUAUAAGAUUAUAUUUUGAGUAUUCACGUAGAGAGACAAAUAGUCACAUUUUAUGCGUUUAGGGUCUUGGACUUUUAAUCAUUGUUUUCAAAGAUGAAUAACAUCAAUACAAUAUCAUGGUUUAAAAAAUUCUAAUUAUUUUUUUUUGGAAAUUCAUAAUUAUUAUUUUUUUUAUAACAUAGGGAUUUAAUUGUGAUAUAUUUAUUAAAUAUAUGUUUUUCUUGUAAUUUUUAAUAAAUAUAGGAUAUUUUAUUAAUGAAAUGAGAUCUAUAUGAAGAAAUUUUUUCCAAUUUUAUGCAAAAAUAUUUAGAUAUAAAUAUGGCGUAUUUCCAAAAUAGAAGGAGGCUUAUGUAGGUUUCUUUCUAUUGUUGAUAAUACAUAGUGUACUCUUUUUAUUUAUUUAUAUAAGAGGUUUAUCUACGUUUCAAAAAUUUAAGGGGAAAUUAUAUUUUAAUGAUGAUAUACAAAAAUAUAAAUUGCAUUUUAAUAACAAUAUUUAAUAAAAAAAUUGGUAUUUAGUAAUUUUUAAAAUUGGUUAUUUAGAUUUUUGACUAGAUAUGUUAUCUUUUAUUUUUAUUUUAAACUUAACUCAUAUUUCUUCUAUUAUAAAUAAAGGACCUUAUGUGUAUAUUCAACACAAGGAAGAUUAAUCUCAUAUAUAUUUUUUACUAUAUUCAACAUGAUAUCUAAGAGCUUAAGGUUCUUUUAAGGAAAAAAAAAAUUAUAGUCUUUACCACUACACUUGUGGUCGUGCCAUCGUCCACCGCUGUCACUAUCAAAGUUCUAGUUUUGAAUGACGAUCACAUGGUUUUGAUUGUCUCGGUCAGGUGACCAUUAUUUCAUCAAUGAUGCCUUCAUCAGAGCUCCUAUAGGAUCUUAACACCUUUUAAAGUUAUGGAUUUGCUCCCUGCUAUUUAGAGCAUUGAGGUUGCUCUUGUGCCUUGAUUGAAGAAUCUUGGAUUUUUUAAUAUUUCUCUCUCCUAUUCAUCCCUGGUUUCUUCCUGCUAUUGUCUCUUCUGACCUCUCUUUUGUCACCAUUGUGUUUGACCCGUCCAUAUAUGUUUGUUUUUUUUUUCGAUGGAAAAGAUGGUUCUUGUUAGUUUAUUUAUAACCGUAGUGGCUCUCCAACAAUUACCUCUUUAUCCACUGGUGGCAUUCCUCAAGGACGAUUUUCAAGAAGAGAUUUACUUGGAGCAACCUCCCAGGUUUGUUGCUCAGGGGGAGUCAUCUGAGUAGGGAUGGCAAAAAAAUUCGCGCCCGCGAAUAUCCGCGGAUAAAAUCCGCGACGAAUAGUUGAUACCCGCGGAUAUUUACUACCCGAAACCCGCGGAUAGCGGGUAUUUUAAUAUCCACUUAUAAACGGGUCGGGUGCGGGUAUUAUACUAUCCGUAACCGCAGAUAUCCACUACCAACAAAAAAAUAAAAAUAAAAAUUUAAUUUUUCUUUUAUUAAGUUAAAUUUAAUUAAAAUUAACAUUAAUUUAUAUUUUACAAGGUUAAAUUUAAUUAAAAUUGUACUAUAUGAAGUAUACCAAUCAGAAUUAAUUAUCAUUUAUGGACAAUUAACAUAUAUUAAUAUGUUAUGUUACUCUUUACAAAAUAUACAGUAUUGAUUAUUGAUUAUUGGGUUUGAUUGUCUAAAAAUAUACUCUAAUCGUCAGAUUGUUUUACUCCUUACAAAAUAUACUAUAUUAAUUAUUGAUUAUUGAGUUUGAUUGCCUAAAAAUAUACUGCACUAAUGGUUAAUCAAUGGACUUGCCUGUCACAGGAAAGAUUGAAGUUGAAAAGAGAACAAAGUAAAGAAGGAACCUUCGGACUAAUUCAACCGAAACAAAAAUUAAAUUUUAAUUUAUAUUUAAUUUAAUUUAUAUUAUAUAUAUAUAUAUAUAUAUUUGUAAUUUUAUUUAAAUUUUAUUUUAAUAAUUUAUAGAAAUAUUUUUUUAAAAUAUUUGCGGGUAUCCGCGAAUAUCCACAGGUUUUAAAAUAUCCGCGGAUAUUUUUUAAGCGGGUAUUCGUGUGGGUAACGGGUCGGGUAGCAGGUGGAUUUUUUUUUGUCAGGUCGGGUUGUGGGUUAGCACUAUCCGUGCCCGACCCGACCUGUUGUCAUCCCUACUUCUAAGUUAGUACUUGGUCUUCUAUGUCGUCUUGCAGAUCAUUAGCAAUUUGGUGCCACUCGAGUGCAAAAACAGAUAUUUUCACUAAGUCUUUAUGGAUUAUAUUAAUAACAAGCUUGGUACAUAUGAUUUGUAUGCACUAGCUAAAGGGAAAAGUGUUAGAUAUAUAUCUUUAUUUUAUAUUUAUCUUUUAUCUUUAGUUAGUUUGUUAUUAUUUUUUAUUUGUAUUUUGAGUUUUGCCAAUAUUUCUUUUAUUAUGAAUAGAGAAUCCUAUAUGUAUAUUCAAGACAAGAGAGAUUAAUUUCAUACAUAAUUUUCACUAUAUUUAACCGUUGCAAAUAAAGAACUAGAUUAAGUUUCUCUUAAAAGAUUUAGUAUUUAUUUAAUUAAUUAGUGGUUACAUAGGAUAAGUUAUGCGAAGUUAGUUUACUAUUUUAUUAGAAAAAGUAUAGGAUAGAUUGACUCUUUUAGUUCAUUAUCAUUAACUUAUCUAUCAUUAAAAUAUUAUAUAUGAAUUAAUUGUAAUCCAAAAUGUGAUUGUAGUUUUUUAUGAUUUCCACUGUACCAUUAUUAUAAGACUUUUAUCCAUUCUAUAUUGUCAUCACACCAUUCUUAUAAGACUUUCAUCUUUUAUAUAUGGUAACAAUAUAAUUUUUAUAUGACCCUCACAUGAUUCUUAUAUGGACAUUGUUCUAUUUUGGUUUAAUAUCUAUUUUGGUCCCUCCUUUGGGAGGAUUUGUUCAAAGUGGUCCCUCCUUUUUUCAAAAGUUCACUUUAGUCCUAUCUUUCGCAAAGACUGUUCAAGUUGGUCCUUUUUGGUAACAGCAUUAAGUUCACUAACGGUAGAGCUGUCAGGUGUGUAAUGUUUGAUGAUGUGGCACUGUAAUUUGUUUUAAAAAAUAUAUAUAAUGAUGACGUGUAAAUGAAUAUAAUUAGGGUUGGAUUAAAAAAGGAAUUAGGGGACAAUUUGGGGGUAAUUUGGAAUGGAUUAAGUAAAUUGAAUCCGCGUCUUCCUCGUCAUUGUCUCCUCCACCCGAAUCCGACGUCCUAGCAUGGAAGCAAUUUCACCUCCGUCACACAUCUGGAAGAUUCUUCAAGGUCCCUUCCCUUUUCCUCUUCGCAUUUUUCGCUUUCAAUUUCCCAUACCUAACUGCUUCUUGCCAUUAAGGAAAGACGUUAUUUGUUGAAGGAGUUCUAGCGGAAGACCGGUAGACCAACUGCAGGAGGUGCUUGGUUGCAAAUGGCGACCACCGCAAGCCCCGACGUCGUCGAUGGCCCUGUGAUGAGCCUAAUCAACAAGCGCAUCUGCGCCUUCCGCAAGAAGAUGAAUCGCAUCGUUGCCAUGGAAGAGUCCCUCUCCCUGGGAAAAACCUUGAACAAGGAGCAGGAAGAGUUUCUACGAACCAAACCCUCCAUUCUCGCCCUCAUCGACGAGUUCGAGAAGUUUCGUCAACCCCUCGCCUCUGCGGUAGCCGAGGAACUCCAGGGAACGACGCCGAACGCGCGAAGCGCUGAAGCCCCAACCCAAACCCUAGCCGAAAGCUCUGGCUCGUUCGAGCAGCCGCCGCCGCAGCACUCAGGGGAGGACGUUGUCGUGGAGGACCUCCUCAACCUGCUCUACUAGUGAGUGCUUAAGAAUGAUUUGCUAGCAAUUUUUCUGGUGAAAUUCCAAGUGAAAUUGGCGACAUGAAGUGUUUACAAGAUCUUGAUUUGUCUAGGAACAAUUUCUCUGGAAAAUUUCCCAUUUUUACUCACUUUUGACAAGGAUUCAUAUUUGGGUGACCCCCACUUGAUACUCCCAAAGUUCUUUAACAUCUCUGACGAUAAAAAUAGCACAUGACAAAAAGUCUUGAAAAAUCCCACAAAAUGGUCUCUGGUUUUGGCUCUAAUAGCACAUGAUUUAGGAAGCUCUGGAUCCUCACCUUGGUAUUCUGACACAGUUAAAAUAUUUCACCUGAAGACAGUUUUCACACAUGGAGACAUCUUGAAAGCAACCUCCAACUUCACGGAGGAAAGAGUCAUACGAAAGGGUGGCUAUGGAGGGAUCUCGCCUUCAGCUGCCAGAGGUCACCGGAGAUGUGCUCCACCUCCUGAUGUGUUUGUUGUUUUUUUGAUUUGGUUGUUAACUUGUUACUAACUGCUUCUUGCCAUCCCAAAUUACCCCAAUUUAUUUUUUAAUUUAACUCUAAUUAUUUUAAUUUACACGUCACAAUUUUUUAUUUUUUUAAAACACAUAACAAUGCCACAUCAUCAAAUAUUAGCCACCUCUCAGUUCCGCCGUUAACAAAGUUAACGCCAUUACCAAAAAGGACCGAUUUGCACAGUUUUUACAAAAGUUAGGACUUAGGUGAACUUUUUAAAAAAGGGAGGACCACUUUAAACAAACCUUCCCAAAAGAGGGAUCAAAAUAGGUAUUAAACCUUCUAUUUUUAUUUGACCCUCACCCUCACUAUUUAUUGCUUGACAUUUUGUUAAAAAAUAUAUAAAAGUUUCUUAGAGAGCAUCUAUAAAUAAUUUUCUAGUUGCGUUGAAAAAUUGGAGACAUUCUUCUUCUAUUAUAUUUGUUCACAUUUAUGCGUAAAGAUGCAUUAAAUAUCUUUUGGACAACAUUUGUUGCAUAUCUCUUUUUCAAACAAUAGUUUCAUACAUCGUUGAAUAUCUAUUGUCAUUCAAUCGUUUCAGUCUUUUUAGAAAGAUUGUUGGCAUGGAGCAACAUAAACACAUUUUCCAAGAGAUAUUUGAUAUAAAAAAUCUUUAUAAGUCCUAAGAUAAAUUAGGAAGGACAUUAUCAACAAUAAAAAGUAAAAAUUUAUAGUAUUUGAAUUGUACUAAGAAAUGCGUAAAAAACAGGUAAUUUUAUGUCUAAACAUAAACCUAUUACACAAAAAUAAAUAUAUAAGGUGUUUUGUGGCUGUUGUCAUUCUAUGCCAUAAUCUAACAAUAAAUCAAAUUCUUGUUUUAACAUUUUGUUAUGAAAACACUUGAUUAAAAUAAAUUAAUUUUGCUGUAAGAAAACCUUAGCAUACAAACAUUCUUUAAAAUACUUUAACAUAUGCUAUAAUUUUAAUAGUCACUUAUUAUACUUGUAUUUUACUUUUGAAAGUCUAAUAUAAAGCGCAAGUGAUCUGAUCAUUAUAGCUCAAUUAAAAAAGUACGUUUUGAAUCAUAAUAGUAUACUUGAUGUUUGAAAAUAUAUUUAGUGUCAAUAAAAUAAAUGUAUUUUAAUUUUGGUGAACAUAAAAUAAAGAAGUUUUUGUGUAGUCUAUCUAAAACAUUUUCCUUUAGUUUGAAUUGGUAGAAAAUAUGAUUUGAAGAUAAUGUUAGUGUUAGUGAUAAUGGAGCGGAGGAGGCGUAGGUAAUAAGUGAGUUGGAACGUAUUGUGUUGUGUCCCUACAGAAAUGAACAAAAAGAUGUUACAGAUGGUGAAAGUUAAAGACAAAAGAAUGGACAUUAGAAAACGAAAGAUGAUUAAUACUUAGCGAGGAAGAGAGGAUGCAUCCACAUCAAUCCUGAUUUGUAGUUUAUCUCUUUUUGAGAAAAGGAAGAAGAUGGGACCACAAGGCUUUCCUACAACCAUUAUUCAUAAUAAAUAAAAUAUCUCUUAAUUAAUCUUAUUAUUUAAAUGAUGAACAUGCAUGGAUAUGCAUAAGAGCUUGUUGUUUCCUGUUGAUUAGAAAAGAAUGUUAGUGUACUAAAAAUAGUAAAGUUGAAUUAAAAAUGUUAGAUCUAAGAGAGAGGAAAUGCAGGUGAAUAGAAUAAGAAACCCAGAAGGAUGCCAGAAAAGGAAAGGGUGAAAAUAAGAAUGAGAGAGAGAGAGAAGGGGGAAAGCGCGUCCCAGAAAGGGAAACCAAAGGAGUAGUUUGUCUGAGUGAAUGAUGAAAGCGAUCUAACAAAUGAGACCACAAUGUGUGUGAUAGGACCAAUCAAUCCUCACCCAACUCUUACUCUCUCUGUCUCACUCAUCAUCUUCAUCAUCUUCUUCUUCUUCUUCUUCUUCUUCUUCUUCUUCUUCUUUCGACUAUGUAGACCCCAAUUCUUUUCCAACCGUUCAAGAAAUUCCAUAUUUAGAAACACCCAACUUAAAGGGUAAAAAAGCUGCUCUCAACCCAACCCACUUUUCCAUUCUUUUCACUUUCUCCACCCACCACCCUAUUCUUUUCACUUUUUUUUUUUUUUUUUAACAUUGUAUUUUCCUUAAACCUUCAACUUCCUAUGGUAAAACUACUAAGAAAAUAAACAUCAACGUGGGAGAAAAAGAGUAACACAAAUGACUCUCACUGCUGUGCCACUGUCUCACUUAUAGGAUGCAACCAAGCUCACUCUCACUCCAUUUUUUACUGCCUUUCUUUUCUUCUUUUUUCUUCAAGGCCCAUUUGGACCACCACCAACUUCUUCUUCUUCUUCUUCUAUUCUCCACUGCCUCUCUUCAUUCUUAGCUUACUCUUCCUUCAUCUUGCUUGGACCAACGCUACUCCUUCUUCACUUUCAAAACCUCAUUCAUCCUUUAUUUUAUCUUUCUUAAUCUUCAAAUAUUAUUUCUCACUUACAAACCAUUCACACAUUCUAAAACACCAAAAUACCAAGGAUUUUUUUUUUCUUUUAUCAUUCAAAUAUAUUUCAUCUCAUCCUUUUAAUUAUUCUAUUUAUAAAGAAAAUUCUUCUUUUUAUUUAUCAUUUUUUUAAUUUCUAUAUAACAAAUUUAUUUUUAACUAUUCUCUUAAUUUAGUUAAUAUCGAAAGGGAAAAAAUAAUUACAAUACAUACACCUACACUAAAAAAAAAGUAAAAGAUAACUCGCAUAAAAUUAGAUUAAAAAUAAAAAAUAAAAUAUUUUUCUUACUUUAAAUAAAAAAACUUUAAACUGCUAUAAUAAAGCAAGAAUGAGGUACAUGUACUAAAGUAAUACAUACAGCUUUGUCCUUGUAAAUAUGGCAUAGAGGUUACAAUUUUUUUCCAAACUCACCUUAAAUGUCAUAUUUUAAUGAGUUAUUGAUUCUAUUUAUUUGUUAUAAUAUUCAUUAUGGCUUCGGUCCUAUAUAUUAAUUCAAAAGUCAUAUCACAAGUGGAUUCAACUUAACAAAUUUUACAGAAAAUAAAAACAUACCCCUUAUAUACACCACUUAAAACACAUGCGUAAUAAUGUGUAUGCGUAUUCACUUGUUUUUUAAUAGCAAAAAAGAAUGAAAUUAUAACUAUAUAGAUAUUUUUUACAAUUUAAUUAUAGAUUAUUUUUAUCUAUUUCGUAAAUAAUUUUUAUUUAUUUAGUAGAUUAUUUUUAAUUAUUUAAUUUUAAAAAAUAGUUAAUUUUAAAAAAAUGAUUAAACUUAAAAAAUCAGUUAAAUUUAAAUGAAAUAGUAACUUAAAGAAUAAAAGUGAAAAAAAAAACGUAAAAAAAAAAAUCCCUUCAUGUAAUAUAUAUAUUAUAUAGAGAUAUAUGUAUUAGUAUUGAAUGCAGUUGCAAUGUAUUUAGUUUUUAGAAUAGUUGAAAUUUGUAGCCCUACAAUUCUUUUUAUAUAUAUAUAUAUAUAUAUAUAUAUAUAUAUAUAUAUAUAUAUAUAUAUAUAUAGAUCCUAUGGGAAUAAACUCUACCCAACUUAAGUAAAUUUAUUAUAGGAAGGAAAGUUCACAGUCCUGCAUUUAUAAUAGUUAAAUACAUUUUUUAAAUGUUACACUGUAUGUUUUGAAUACUAACACAUAGAGGAUACUUUUUGUAAUUUUAAUUUUGUUUGAAGAAAAAAAAAUGAAUGAGAGAUUAAUAGAAGAAUAAAAAAGGAUGAAUAAAUUAGAUAAUAUAAUGUUUUAGCUUAACAUAAAAUAAUAAUAUGCUAUACAAAAAAAAAAAGCAUUAUAAAAAACACUCCAAGACAAAAAUUAAAACUCUAAACAAAUUUUCAAGCAAGGAGAAAGAAUUAUUCUUUGAUACAAAUCUGAUCCAAGAAAAUUUAAGCCGAACAAUGAGAUAAUUUGUAUAUUAUAUUUUUGUGUAAUUGAUCGAAAGGAAGGAGGUGUGAUGCAAGAACAUAUCAUGAAUCAAUAGUGUAGGCUAAAAUAAUGUGGUUUACAGAGAGAGAUUAAGUUUAAUAAUUUAUAUUUUCCAUUUUGGUAGUACGACCCAGUGGUAGUACAAGAAAGCUAAAACUCGGGUCUUAUAUUAAAAGUAUUUGAAGCAUAGUUUUGAUGAAAAUAUCUAAGAUGACGGUAGUGAUGACGAAAACGUGUAUAGCUUAAAAUGAUAUUUAAAUUGUUUACCAAAGCACAAGGUGGAAAGAACAAAUGGAUGAUUAUUUUAGUGGGAAGACUAUUAUUUUUGCAACCUACGAGAUAACAAAGUUUAUGAUAAAACAUUGAGUAUGAUUCAUUAACGAGUCAGAAGCUGUUCCCUCUCAAACUCACAUGUCUAGAAUCGUUGAACCCAACCAAUCUAUUAACCAAUGAGGCCUCUGCUCGACAAAAGUACAUCCGAUAUAUUAUAUUAAUAAUAUGAUACGAUGAAAGAAAGAGCAGUUUUUAGUUUUAAUUAACAUUGUCAUUAUGCACUUACUUUAGUUUUUUUUUGUCGUAAAGGUUAAAAGUGAUAAUGGUUAAUAAAGUGUUAAACCCUCUCAAAACCCCUUGGCCAUUAUGCCCUUUUGGUGGCUUCUUUUUCUCUCUCUCACUCCAUGUAUCAGUGUCCUUUUGGAGCUUUAGACGAACAAUGAUAGGUCCCUCUCAUAAUAAUGGCAUUGUCUGACUGCUUUUGGCCGAGAGAACUGAUUCAAAGGACACCGUUGAUGGAGACUAUUCAUCACCAUCCGAUGAUAUUUCCAAGACACCAGAAAAUAAACCAUUUUGUAUCUCUGAUUUUUUCCCACCCUACUCCUCCUCUCAAUAUAUAAAAAUUCCUCAUUCCUAAUAUUAUUUUCUUCAACUUUUUUUGCUCGUUUAAGCUUUACCUAGAUUUGUCUCAACGUUUUUUGUCAAGCUAAACAACCCCCCAUUGCCCUUCUAAGCCACCAAAGCUAGCAUCUUUCCUUGGAAAAGUUUUUAAGACCAAUCCCAAUCCAAAGAGAAAUAAGGAACAAAUUGACAACCAUGUGUAGGUGAUAGCAAUACAUCCCAAAUUAAGAAACGAAUAGGUGCUGUCAUAAAUACCACAACGCAGAAAAGCAAUAAAUCAGAGUUAUACAAGAUCAUAAAAUUUUAGUCAGAGCCCAGAAUAUCUAGUUAAAGAUUUCGUCCGUUUGUUAGUUUGACUGACCCAGACCAAGACCAGUAAUAAGUACCCAAUUUGGAUUCUUUUUUUUUUUUUUUUUUUUUUUUCUUUCAUCCUUUCUUUUCACCUCAACAGUUAACAAGUUAUGGUCUUCCUAAAGGAGGUUGCUGGGUUGGACAUGGACACGGCCUAACACCGCAACCAUUUUUACAUGCUAAGAAAAGAAAAUAAUAUUUUUUUUUUGGGGAUGAUGAUAUUCUUAGGGAGCAGAUUAUGAUCAUUUGAAUGAAACUGGGUGGGCAGAAAAUUUCUAUAUAGGGUCAUGAGGGUCUCAUGAGAGUGUGGAACCCAUUUUUCUGCAGCCAACCUUGAGAAGAGGGUCUUAUCUGUUGUGGGAAUCCUGAUGAUGCUGCAGCAGUUGCUAAAUAAUGUGGAGGCCCGGAUUGCCACUGUUGUUGAUCGGCCAUUGACAAUGAAAGAUCACUUCCAAUACGGCCUCCAAUGCUGCUGCUGCUGCUGCUGGGAAACUACAUUUAAUAAAUAAAUAUAAAUAAAUAAAUAAAUAAAUAAAUAAAUGGGCUGACAACUCCAAUACUAAAAAUGUGUCUCAAUGGUAAUAAUAGUGGGGGCUCGUGUUUCUAUAUUUUCUGAUCUCUAUUUAAUGUAUGAGCUAAAAUAAAUUAAUUGAAGAGAUAGAUACCCACAUGAAAAUUUGGUGGGUGGUGAAUGGGAGCAAAAUUUUGAUGCAUUUGAGACUCUCCUCCGGAAGACCUGUAGGGACCAUAUCUUUGCAUUUCACUGGAAGCUGGACAAUGAAGGUGUGUUUGACUUAGCAUCCUCAAUGCUUCACUCUCCCCGUGCACAUCCCUUCCCUGUGUGUCCUUGUUCCCUCUAUUACAUGGUUUUGGCAGUAUAUUCACCAGCUUAACCAUAUAUAUUAACACACAUAUCAAUAACCAACCAUUCCACCAUAACUAAAUUUAAUAAUAACAACCUUCAACCAACCUUCGUUUUGCUUCCCCCAUUUCUCCAAUUUGAUUCACCUCCCACCUGUUGUUCAUGAUGAUGAUGAUUAUGAUGAUGAUGAUUCCCCAACGCUUGGUUACCCCCACCCUUUGAACUUGAACUUCCCAAACUUAAAUCCAGAUUGUGAUCUCCACCGUUACCUGUCGAUUCUGCUCCUUCAUAUUCAUUCAUUCAUACAUACGUUUCAUUAAUAAAACAUUAACACCAUUAUCGGAAAAAUAAAUCUUUAGUCCAUUACUUACCGGAGUUAAGCUCGUUCUCAUAUAUGCUGGGAUCAAAAUUGGUUACGGCCUCUUUCCCAUUGCAUUUUAUGGCUGCUUUGUCAUAAGCCCUAUAUAUACAUAUAUAUAGUAACAAUGUGCGAUUAAAUUAAAACCCUAAUCAUGAUUAAUAGUUUAAUAUUCUUCGCUAGAAGAUGGGCAAUCUAGUAAAUGGAAGGAGGAAAGGAAAACAAUUAAUAACGACGUGAGUGAGCAAAACAAGAUAGUAGUUUACUUUGCAGCUUCAAUCUCGGUGUCAAAGAGACCCAAAUAAACGUACCUAAUGAAUCAAAUGAGUUAAUCUUAGUGAUGUGAUGAGGAAGAUAUGAAACUUGGAUUGUUUAGCAUGAAUGAAGAAUGAGAAAAUCUAGAAAAAGAAAAAGGAGAAAAAGAAAAAGAAAAAGAAAAGAAAAGAAGGAAUACUUUUUC